ACUUUCAGUAAUUUAUAGCAAAUCAAAACUGUUACUAUUUAGCACCGAUUAAACUCACUCUUGUUUGGAUUCGAAUUCGGAUAAAAUCUCGGGUAUCCAUACCAUUGCCUCCAUAAUUAACAGUAAUAGUUGUAAAUAAUAGAUUUAUUUUUUUAUUUUAUUAAAAAUCACAUACAUACACUUGCAUCUCUUUUAUUAAUUGAAAAAAGUAUGAGAACUACUGACCGUCCCUAGCGCAAGUGGCAAAAGGGCUUGAUGGUUGGUACCCGAAACCCAAGUUCGAAUCCUAGUUGAUUCACAUUUCCAGCUAAAUUUAUUUCUAAAUGAAAUAAACGAAGCAGGUAGCAUGUUACCUUUCUUUCAAAAAAAAAAAGUAUGAGAACUUUGUUCAAAGAAUCAUUUGUAUAUUAUUUUUAGUUUUUAUGUACAUAAUAUAAUAAGAUUAUUGCUGAUAAUUUAAGCUUUAAAGAUUUAAGAAAAAUUAAGCAAAAUCCCAUUUGGUUGGGGUACGAGGGGUGAGAUAACCCCUUAUCUAGGGGUGUAAUGUGGGCUGUGCCGAACUGGUACGGCCCAUAUAAACCGGGCGAUUCGGGCCAAGGGUCAGCCCGGCCCGACCCGCUUACAAAUGCGGGCCGGACCAUGCCGUGCCGACCCGUUUUCUUGGAGGGGAAAGCCCGGCCCGGCCCCUGGCCCGCUUAGGACGGGUCGGGCCGGGCUAGGCUUCGGGCCAACCCGGUAAUAGCCAAUAAGCUUUUUUUCCAGUUUUUUUUAUAUUUUGCUUUUAAUUAUUUCUUUAAGAAAAAGAGUUUAAAUUAUAACUUUUUGACUUAUAUUUUUUUAAUUUACACAAGGCCAAUUUGCAUAAAAAAUCCACUUAUUUUGGGCUUUUGCAAAAUCGGGCCAUCUUUUUGGCUUUUACAGAUUCGGUCCGCUUUUUCAGCAAACUGACCAAAAUACCCUUAUACCUUUUUCUCUUUCCUCUUUCUCUCUCCUCUUUUUUUCUCUCGUUCUUUUUUCUUUUUCUUCCCAGAGAGCGGCGAAGACGGAGCGGAGGUGCCCUUAUACCUUUUUCUUUUCUCUUUUUUCUCUCGUUCUUUUUUUUCUUUCUCUUCCCAGAGAGCGGCGAAGACAGAGCGGCGUCGCCGCCGGCGCCCCCACCUUCCUCGCCUCCGAUCCCCCUAAGGCCGGGCUGUGACUUUUUUUUUUUUGCAUUUUUCUUUUCUUUUCUUCUCUGACUCUCCUCCACAGUUUCCGACGACGGCGCCUCUCUCGCUCUUCCCUGCCCUUCCCGUCUCUCCUUCUCCCUCCUUCUCUGCUGCCUCCGACGACGAUGCAUCUUCGCCGACACCGACGCCGACACCGUGGAGAUCACUGCGGCGCUGCAGCCUCGGAGUGGGGGGUCUUUAGCGGCGUCGUCACCGACACCGUGGCUAUUGACAGAGAGGGUGACAAAAAAAAAAAAAAAAAAAAAAUAAAGAUAAAAAAUUAUAUAAAAAAAAGGAUGAAGAUGAAAUUGUAUCGUUAACUACAAAAAAAUUACAAGUUGCACUACUUAAGAUGUAAACUGCAGCUUUAAAAUAAAAAUUACACUUUUUAAAUGAAAAUUACACUCUUUGAAAGAUAUUUACACUGUUUCUCUUCUUAUUGCACUCUUUCAGAUAUAAACUGCACCCACUAAGAUAAAAAUUACACUCUUUAAAUGAAAGUUGCACUGUUUCUCCUCUUGUUGCACCGUUUCUCCUCUUGUUGCAUCAUUUCUCCUCUUGUUACACUAUUUUUUAUCUUAAACUGCACCCAUUUAAGAGAUAUUUAUACUGCUUCUCCUCUUGUUGCACUGUUUCUCCUCUUGUUGCACUGUUUCUCCUCUUUAAAGAGGAGAAACAGUGCAACAAGAGGAGAAACAGUGCAACAAGAGGAGAAGCAGUAUAAAUAUCUCUUAAAUGGGUGCAGUUUAAGAUAAAAAAUAGUGUAACAAGAGGAGAAAUGAUGCAACAAGAGGAGAAACGGUGCAACAAGAGGAGAAACAGUGCAACUUUCAUUUAAAGAGUGUAAUUUUUAUCUUAGUGGGUGCAGUUUAUAUCUGAAAGAGUGCAAUAAGAAGAGAAACAGUGUAAAUAUCUUUCAAAGAGUGUAAUUUUCAUUUAAAAAGUGUAAUUUUUAUUUUAAAGCUGCAGUUUACAUCUUAAGUAGUGCAACUUGUAAUUUUUUUGUAGUUAACGAUACAAUUUCAUCUUCAUCCUUUUUUUUAUAUAAUUUUUUAUCUUUAUUUUUUUUCUGUUUUUUUUUUUUUACCCUCUCUGUCAAUAGCCACGGUGUCGGUGACGACGCCGCUAAAGACCCCCCACUCCGAGGCUGCAGCGCCGCAGUGAUCUCCACGGUGUCGGCGUCGGUGUCGGCGAAGAUGCAUCGUCGUCGGAGGCAGCAGAGAAGGAGGGAGAAGGAGAGACGGGAAGGGCAGGGAAGAGCGAGAGAGGCGCCGUCGUCGGAAACUGUGGAGGAGAGUCAGAGAAGAAAAGAAAAGAAAAAUGCAAAAAAAAAAAAGUCACAGCCCGGCCUUAGGGGGAUCGGAGGCGAGGAAGGUGGGGGCGCCGGCGGCGACGCCGCUCUGUCUUCGCCGCUCUCUGGGAAGAGAGAAAAAAAAGAACGAGAGAAAAAAGAGAAAAGAAAAAGGUAUAAGGGCACCUCCGCUCCGUCUUCGCCGCUCUCUGGGAAGAAAAAGAAAAAAGAACGAGAGAAAAAAAGAGGAGAGAGAAAGAGGAAAGAGAAAAAGGUAUAAGGGUAUUUUGGUCAGUUUGCUGAAAAAGCGGACCGAAUCUGCAAAAAUGAAAAAGGUGACCCGGUUUUGCAAAAGCCCAAAAUAAGUGGAUUUUUUAUGCAAAAAGGCCUUUACACAAUUAUACCUAACCUUUUUAAAACUCUUUUAAAAAUUUUAUAAAUUUUUUAAAAAAUUAUAACACAAACAAUAAAUUUAACUUUUUAAUAAAAAAUUAAUAUUAAUUUUUUUUCAUAUUUUUUUAUUAUUUGAAAAGAAAUUGAUAUUCGAAAAAAAAGCACAAAAAAUAUGUAAAAUUUGAAAUAAUCAUAUUAUAUAAUUACAUUAGAGAAAAGUACAAACAUUUAUAAAAUCAAAAAUAUAUUUAAAAUAAAAUGGUAUUGUUUAUACAACCAAUUAGCAAACAGUAGAGAAAAAAAUUCAAUAUAAUUUUGUUCUUCGUUACAUCAUUUUUUUUACUUUAAAAAAGGGUACCUACUAAAGAGAGAUACCAAAUAAAAAAGAUGAGGAGCAAAGACUAAUAAGCAAUAGUGAGGAGAUUGGGGCAAUUGCACUAUAGCAUGCCACAAGUGUUGGUAUAUUUUUAGGUAGUUAAUUCCAUUUUAUCUGAAGAUAUAGACUCAUGACCUGCUUUAUCUUGUAUUCUUAAUUCUAUAGCUCGCCAAUCUUUUAAGCAGACUAAAAUCUUAACCGCAUCCUCUUUAAGCCGGGUUCUAUAAUCAUCCAAUAUUCUUCCACCUGCACUAAAAGUAGGCUUGGAUGCCACUAUUGAAACCUGCACAGUUAGUAGAUAUCAUACCAUGACAGAAAGCACGGGAUAUUUACUUUCAUGUGUUUUCCACGAGGCUAAAAUAUCUAAUUUAUCUGAUUCAUCUUCAUUAAAAGAUUUGAAAAAUCGCUUGUAAGUAAAACUGAAGUUCAUUAAGGGCAUGUUUGGUAACUCGAAAGUCGGCGAAGUGGAAAAAAAGUCACUUUUAUAAAAGUGACUUUUCAGUUCGAUUAUUUGGUUGCUACAAAGUAAAAAAUUAAAACUAUAAUUUUUUAUUUUUUUAUUAUUAAAUUAUAUAUAAAGAGGUAAAAAUAUAAACAAACGACUUAUACUUGCAAUUUAAAUUAAAAUUUUAAAUUUAAAUUAAUAUUUAGAAUUCAAAGUUAUAUUUUAAAAUUUAAAUUUAAACUUAUAUCUGAGUUGAAUUUAUAAUUAAAAUUUACGACAUAAAUUUAAUUUACAAUUUGAAUUUAAAAUUUAAGUUAUAACUUAUAAGUGAAAAUAACACAAAAAUUAGAACAUUUAUUCAAAUUUGAAUUUAUAAUUUGAAUAAUAUAUUAAUUCACUCUUUGAUCUUAAAAUCUGAAUUCAAAUAUGAAUUCACAAUUUAAAUUAAUAUUUAAAUUAAAAUUAAAAUAUGAGUUUAAAUCACAAUUCGAAUCGAACAUUUGAAUUCAUAANNNNNNNNNNNNNNNNNNNNNNNNNNNNNNNNNNNNNNNNNNNNNNNNNNNNNNNNNNNNNNNNNNNNNNNNNNNNNNNNNNNNNNNNNNNNNNNNNNNNNNNNNNNNNNNNNNNNNNNNNNNNNNNNNNNNNNNNNNNNNNNNNNNNNNNNNNNNNNNNNNNNNNNNNNNNNNNNNNNNNNNNNNNNNNNNNNNNNNNNNNNNNNNNNNNNNNNNNNNNNNNNNNNNNNNNNNNNNNNNNNNNNNNNNNNNNNNNNNNNNNNNNNNNNNNNNNNNNNNNNNNNNNNNNNNNNNNNNNNNNNNNNNNNNNNNNNNNNNNNNNNNNNNNNNNNNNNNNNNNNNNNNNNNNNNNNNNNNNNNNNNNNNNNNNNNNNNNNNNNNNNNNNNNNNNNNNNNNNNNNNNNNNNNNNNNNNNNNNNNNNNNNNNNNNNNNNNNNNNNNNNNNNNNNNNNNNNNNNNNNNNNNNNNNNNNNNNNNNNNNNNNNNNNNNNNNNNNNNNNNNNNNNNNNNNNNNNNNNNNNNNNNNNNNNNNNNNNNNNNNNNNNNNNNNNNNNNNNNNNNNNNNNNNNNNNNNNNNNNNNNNNNNNNNNNNNNNNNNNNNNNNNNNNNNNNNNNNNNNNNNNNNNNNNNNNNNNNNNNNNNNNNNNNNNNNNNNNNNNNNNNNNNNNNNNNNNNNNNNNNNNNNNNNNNNNNNNNNNNNNNNNNNNNNNNNNNNNNNNNNNNNNNNNNNNNNNNNNNNNNNNNNNNNNNNNNNNNNNNNNNNNNNNNUGAAUUCACAAUUUAAAUUAAUAUUUAAAUUAAAAUUAAAAUAUGAGUUUAAAUCACAAUUCGAAUCGAACAUUUGAAUUCAUAAUUUGAAUUCAAAUUCAGACUGAAACUUAUUAUUGAACUUAAAUGUAAAUAACAAAUUUAAAUUUAAUUUGAAUUUUAACUUAAAAAUUUAAAAUUUAAAUUUAAAUUUUAGUUAAUAAUUUGAAUUUAUACUUGGAACAAUUUGAAUUCAAAUUUCAAAUUGAAGUUCUUAACUAAAAAUAAUUUGCUUAAAAUUUAAAAUUUAAAAUUUAAAAUUAAAUUCUAGCAUUCAACUUUAAAUAAAAAUAAAAAUUAAAAAUUUAAAUUUAAAUAUAAAGUCAUAAAUUUGAAUUUAAAAUUUUAUGUUGAAUUUUAAUUCAUAAAUAAAAUUCAAAUGUUAUCAUAAUUUUAUUUCAAAUUUAAAGUGAAAUUAAACUUUAAAAAUAAAUUUAAAUAUUAAAGUUAAGACAAAAUAUAACCUCUUAGCUAAGCUCUCCACUUUCGGUGAAUUUUGAAUUUUUUUAGCCGAAGUCAAAAAAGUGAGAUUUAGUUAUAACUCACUUUAUCAGCCCACUUUUGUAAAGUAACUUUUAUAUUCACUUUCGUAAACCAAACAACCGAUAAGACGUCACUUUCUAAAAGUAUCACUUUCUAAAAGUAUCACUUUUGAUACUAUACUUUCGACGAACCAAACAUACCCUAAAAGAAGGUGCACUAAAAUCCGUUUGUUUUUGUUUUCUUACUAAAGAUAAAAUUAUAUUUUUACUAGUUUUGCCACUACUACUACUGCUCCUACUUUGUAACUGUGAAGAAUAUGGUCGUUUACUACCCGAAGCAGUUGCAUAAACACCAUACAAUUCACAUAAAAUACUAUUUACUAUUUGAAAAAUAUUUUUCCUAUUUGAAUAAUUUGUUGAAUUAAUUUCUAAAAAUUCAUUAUAUUGAGUAAGAGCAAUUUCUACUCCAUUUAAUUUAAUUCUAGGAUCCAUUAUAGAGGCCAAAAGAGGUACAAUAGGAAUUUCUUCCCAAUAAUAUUUUUCCUAUUUGAAUAAUUUGUUGAAUUAAUUUCUAAAAAUUCAUUAUAUUGAGUAAGAGCAAUUUCUACUCCAUUUAAUUUAAUUCUAGAAUCCAUUAUAGAGGCCAAAAGAGGUACAAUAGGAAUUUCUUCCUAAUAUUCUUUAAAUUUAGAUUCCAUCAUAAAAAAAUUUAACCUAAAAGAGGAGAAUUUUUAUAUUCAGCAAAAUGACUACUCAUAAGUAAAAUUUGAUUAAGAAAAUGACAUGAAGUAGGAUAAUACACACCUGACAAAAGUUUGGUUGACUCAUAAAAUGGUUGCAAAAAUAAGAAUUUAUCCAAUGUUCCAUUUUUUAUUAAUUAUGGGAUUAUGCAGCAUUUUCUUAUUACAAAAAUAGAUAAAACAUUUCUGUAUCAUAACAAUAUUGCAACAUUUUAUAUGUGGAAUUCCAUCGGUUGUCACGCCUCGGGAUCCCUUUGGAUUUAAAAUCCCAUGCGGAAGUGCCAAACUUUUUAUUUUGAAAACCUUAACCCAGAGGAUGUCAGAUUCGUCAUAAAUACAGAAAAUUCACUGUUCACAGGACAGAGUCUCCCUAUAUUUGUAUGGCGUCGCACAAGUACAAGACUACUACCACAACUGUAUAUAUAUAUAUAUAUAUAUAUAUAUAUAUAUAUAUAUAUAUAUAUAUAUAUAUAUAUAUAUAUAUAUCAUCACCACAUCACAAUAAUUCCAUCACAAGUUUACCAUAAAUCCACAUCUAUUAGUUUAAAACGUUUCCUAUUCGGAAACUCAUUUUGAAAUACUAAGUAUCAUGAAAACCAGGAAAACCUUUUAAAAACUGUUUCGCACACGGAAACCUUUUCCUUUUUAAAACUCACUAACACGAGGGGUAGAAAACCAUUUCCAUUUCACAAAAAUAUCAUAAAUCCUUUAUUACAUUCAUAAAACUAUAUGAAUUCAAAUGAAAUAAGCCACUGAACCAUAAAUAUUGUUUUAGUCAUUUAUUUAAAGAAGCCGAGUUUGAGAAUUAACCAAAUAACGGGAUGGUGGCACUAUCGAUCGCUAGACUCGCUAUUCACGAACCGUCCCACUAGGACCCGUGGUGUCACCUGUAAUGGGGGUGGGGGGUGAGAACAUGUAAACAUGUCUCCUCUCCCAGUGGGUACCGCAAGCCGACGAGGGCGAGGGGUACUCACCAGUCAAGGAGGAUAAACAACAAUAUGGGUAAGCGAAAUACAGUAGCAACGAUAAUGAAUGAACAGAAUGUAUAAUGCACAGCUACUGCUACUGUAUGUAUGCAUCAACGGAUGACAAGUCUAAAAAUACCCAAUCUCAAACCUGUACUCUAUUGGUCCCCACUGCAGACCUCAAGCUAGUGCCCUAUUGGUCCACACCACAGACCUCAGGCCCAUGCCACUGCCACUCUACCUGCAUAUGACCCAGCUUAGGCCGCUGGGCUCACGGGUUGGCACACCGAACCACUUUUUCGGAAAAGAACACCUAGCCGCGGUGGAUCAGACCGCUGGUGUUCGUAAAAUGCAUACAAGUCUCGGGCGAUCAAUGCUGAUAUGCUCAAUAGCCAACCAUCGGCAACUAGCCGACAAUCCUGCCCCUUAGGGCAUACCGACCGUAUAGGUCACCAAGUGGUCCAAUCGACCAAGUAGGUCAUGAUAACAAUGCAGUAAACCGACCGAACAGGUCACAAAUACGGAAUGCAACAACCGACCAACUAGAUCACAGAUAUCACAUGUAGAUAAAACCUGCUCUACUCCUACUCACAAGGCUAGAAGUAUAAACAAUCAAGUAGAGCGAUAGAUAGAGAUAACCAGGUGCUAAGCUCAACACUAUAUAUAUAUAUGCAUGUAGAGUAAUAACGAGAGAACAAGGAUAAAAAGAUAUCACUGAGCGUGCACCACUAUACCGACUUCGAAUCGAAAUACCAACCUGUACAAAUACGAUACUGGCCUUCCAACUACGGAUGAAGUAACAACCGGACCUACGAAGGGUCCAUCGGAUUAGAAUCCAACCCACGAACACAAAACACUAACUCACAAUCCCCACCAAUAAACAUACGGGAAUCAAUUUCCCAAAACCGAUUGCCGAACACACCGAAAGUCUCGAAAAUCGCACCGGGACUCCGCUGGGACCCACGAACUGUCUCGAAACUCAUCGACUCGUGCUACUAGUCACCCGCUGCUACUAAGCACUUAUAUUCGUGUAACCUGGCAGCAAAAACACUAUCUCACAUCGAAACGAUCAUCAUCGGAUAAUUAUUCCGAUCCGGAUUUUCGGAAGUGUCCAAUUCGACACCGGAACCCACCAUCGCUCACCCGUCAUUUUUGAACCAUCGAAACCACAUGGUGACCAGCCAACAAGGCUCAGUGAUGACACAAAUUAUUAUGAGGCACCGUCGGAAGAAUUCCAAACCAAAAACGUGUUCCGUCAGCGAAUUUUGCCGACAAACGCACUGGAAAUCAAUUUUCGAUCUCCGCAAGGGCCUGGGGCCUUGGACAAUAAGUCCAGAGGUCACCCACUGCCCGCACACGCUGCCAACAGCGACCACAAAGUGUACAAUUGCAUAGAAACCCCCACGACAUCAUAAAAUCAUUAUUUCAGCUAGACAGCGCAAACCGAGGGCUUUCUAACUAAGCUAAGACACCCUCUGAUAGGUCUCGAUGUGCCGGAGACCACGCUUACACUUCAGAGCACGGUCGGCCACUGUGGCGAGCGACGCGAAAUUUAGUGAAUGUUGCGCACAGUAUGAAAAACAUGCUUAUCUUGCAAACCAGGGGCUCGUGGACCCCAACGAAGGUGAUCACGAUGAUCGGCACUGAUCAAAGAUCCUCAUGCUCACCUUCGGAAGCCUCGGGGUGGUCCCCGAUCGCCGGAACAAUGACCCGAACCCGAAACGAUGCACAGAAAACACUAAACAUACUCACCGGAGCUUGGUGGAGCAUAGAGUGGCCGGCGGCUGCCGGACGCAGGCGCGCCGACAGGGGGAGGCUGCGGCCGGUCAAAGGGGGCCUGGGCACGCGUUGGCCGGCGGCGGCGGCAGCUGGCGAUGAUGCCCUAGCCGUAACAAGGUGGUAGCGGAAUUCUCCCUAGAGGACGGUCCCGUCAGAUCAUAGCGGAAUUCUCCCCGAUAGUAGGGAUUUGGGUUGGUGAGCUUGUGAGGGCGAAACCUACGGGCUAGCCAUGAGAUUGGGUAAUGAAAAGUUAAUCUUGCAUUCAUCAUGAGCAUUCUAUCAAGCAUAGUUUUAUUUAUCGUCAGGCAUAUUAGCUGCAUUUGUUAAUUGGUUACUAUCUAUUCUUUCUUCUAUUAUGCCUAAUUAGACCUAGUGGGAUAGUCGGCGUGGUUGGUUGCCGAACCGACUGGAAACUUUGUUGUAGUUCUCACACCCCUAUUUUCACAGAGUCGGGACCGAGCGAACCGGCAGAUGAUUGCGGUAAGGGCAUCGCGCCCUAGGUAGAGACCGCCCGAGAUGUUUUAUUUUCAUAGUUGCAUACCCCUUAUUAUCAUCUUUUGUAUUUUGACGAUGUUAGUAUUGUGAUCAUGUUAAAGGAAUGAUGUAGAAGACUUUAUUUAUGUUAAAUGGAGAACUUGUGAUGUAUAAAAGAAAUGAUGCAAAGUUGUAUUAAAGUUGAAUGCAUGUAUGUGAUUUAAAUUUGAUCAAAUACUUGUAUGAUGUUUAGUAGAUUCUUUCACUAUUGGCUGUUGCUUGCCCUCGUGCAAGCCAUUAUGUAUGCUUCCGUUUUGUGCAAAAUUCAUACUCUAUUUGUACAGGAUGUUGAGCCUUGGGCGGACAGGGGAGACUCUGUCCGUUCGGCGUCUGUUUGACGCGCUCGAACCGGCCAAAUAGGAUCGGGUUCGAGGCGUGACAGAGCCAGUUGGUCCCCAAGAUCACGUCGAAACCCCACAUUCGAUUCAACACCAACAGGUCGAUCGGCAUGACCCAAUCACCUAUCUGCACUGGGCACGCUACACACUCUUCGUGAACAUGGAAAGUAUGCUCGACCGAAUUCACCGUCCAAUAGUCAUAAUGAUGCACAAUCUUAAUACUAUGAGUCAUAGCGAAUGAUGCAUCUAUGAAUGAAUGCGAUGCACCAGUGUCAAAUAAAGCUCUAGUUUUGGUGCCUCUGAUCGAGAUAAUACCUGCCACGAUGUCGUCGGGGACAGGAAUCGGCUCCUCCUCCACCUGAGUGGCAAAAACCCGCCUACUCGGUGCCCUCGAUGUCUCCGGCUGACGCGAUGAAGACGAACGUCCAGCCGACAUAGCCGGUGGUAACCCCACUUGCUGUCUCGGGGUAUAAGGAACUGACGUCGAGGUCGGUGCAGAUGAACCCCAGCUAGGGCACUCUCGUGACACAUGCCCAGGUUGGCCACACUUGAAGUAUUUUCCCUCCCGCUGCGGGCAUGUCGGCGGUUGAUGGUUACCGCCGUAAAUAACACAACGGGAUGGCCUUUAACUCCUCAACUACUGUCAGGGGUACCGAGGGGGUUUCUUAGUAUUUGGCCGGCCCCCGGUGCCACCCACCGUCAGCUUCUUGCUCUUCUCCUUUGCCUCGGCUGCGGACUCGCGCUCCUCGUGUUUGUGGGCAUAGCCAUGCUCCGCCCACAAAGCUCGAUCAAAGACCUCCGGAAAGGUCGUGAGCUUAAGGAUUUGCACGGCCCUAUGAAUCCCCGGCCGCAAUCCUCGUAGGAACCAGUCUGCUCGGUCCCGGUCAUCCCUAACAACAUCCGGGACCGAGCUCAAUGCCGCUUGAUGACAUUAGCUCGCUAGUUCACAUACAUUCUAGCUCAGUACCUCUAUAUGGCAAUUUCAUCAUCUUUCAUGUCGCAAGUAAACUUAAGUUUAAAUGCAUGAAUUCGAACUCAUUUACACUAUAGAAACAUGAAACCAAAUCUCGUAUAGAAUGCUAAAUGCAACCAACUCUCUCUCAAGCAACUCUCUACUACAUAGAGGUCCAAAAUUUCAUUAUAUAUAACAUAUGCAUUUUAAGCAUUCUAAAAAUCAUAAUAAAUACAUUUAGUAUGAAUAUGCAUGCUUUUUCAAUUUACGGAACAUAUAUAACCACAUAUGAGAAUUUCUCAUAUGUAGGCUAGGUCAAACCCACCGAACCGUCGCGUAGGGUCUCGAUUCGCCGAACAAAGUUGUCCCCGAGUCUCAAAAUACCCUAAAAGUAAUCAGCGAAGAGAUACGAGGGCAUUACGACCAUCUUAUAAUAUCAAACAUUAACCUAGAAGCAAAAAGGGCCAAAACUAACCUCAAGAGUAGAAAUCUCUCCCAAAGCUCCAAAAGAGAGCUUGAACCCUUCCAAUCCAAGCCCUAGGAAGGUUCUAAACCAACCAAUCAAGCCUCAAAAGCCCUAGGUUCAAAAAGCCCAAAAAUAAACCCUAAGUCCCAAAACUAGGGUUUCAUCUCCCAAAAAUCACCAAAACAAGAAUCUAAAGGAGGAAACAUGUCACUAACCCUUUGGAAGCUUCAAUCCAAGCUCAAAAUGCCCAAGGUUGAAGUUUGGUCCACCACCAAGCUCCAAAAGUAAGCUCCAAUCCACCAAAAGGGAGAAGAAAGGGUGGAGGUGAAGCUCAAGUCCUCUACAAGCUCUUCUUCUCCUUCCUCUCCCACUCUCUCCCUCUCUCUCUCUCUCUAGAAGCAAGAGAAAUGGUGAAGUAAGGAAGGGGAGAAGGAGAAGUGGCCAUAUAAGCCUUCUCUUGUAACAAAAUCCUGUGAGGCCCCUCAAAAAUCUAAUAUUACAUCAGCCCGAACUGGGCAGUUUUCGCCCAGAGGGACUGGUCUCUCCCCAGCAGGGACCGGUCUCUCGCUGUGAACCCGAAAAACCAGCGUUCGAGAACCGGUCUCUCCCCGCGCAGGACCGGUCUCUCAAUGCGAAGACGCGCUCGGGGACCGGUCUCGCCUGCCAGGGACCGGUUGCCUCAGGCUGCCUCAACACUGCUCACUGGGAGACCGGUCUCUCCUUCCAGGGACCGGUCCCCGAGAGUAAAAACUCUCAGGACUUAUCCAGAAUUCCGAUUUUUGAACUUUUUAGGUCGGAAAAUAUUCUACAACCCUCCACCAAAUGUGGAAAAGCUCGAAAUACAUCCAAACACUCGAACCUCGCAAUUUGCAAAGGUCCAGUGUGUUACACGACCACUCCUAGUGGCCAUCAGCACCAACAGCAGCAAAACUAGUGAGAAUGCCGUUUUUCCUAUAUAAAAAAUGAACCUUGCAUGAACAAAAACCGAAAAAAUCUGUAAAAAUAGCGAAAAAAUUUCUAAUAAUAUUAAAAUACAAAAUAAUGCUAUUUCUAACUAAUUCAAGCAAGAUUUUUCAUCAAAAAUUGACAUUCCAACAAAAAUUUCAAAAUUCCAUAUGUAAUGAGGUACAGAUCACAGAUCAGCAAAAAAUAACGCAUUAUAUCAUGAUCUAAGUGUUCUAGAAGCAGGAAUAUAUGUCUAAACACUGAUUCAUAGCAAAAAAUUGCAUAAAAAACGGUUAAGAAUAGAGAUCAUGCUUCAACUCGGAAUUUUUUGAAAAAAAUAGUAAGAACGGGAGUACAAGAUUAAAUCCGAGGAAGAUACUCACAAAUUUUUGGGGAAACAAUAUAGAUUUGGAGGAGGAAGUCACCAGGGAUUUUUAGAGAGAGAAAAGAAAAGUUUUGAAUCAGAUUUGGGGAUGAACCGAACCCUGUAACCGGUUAUAAAAUCGCGGCUACAGUGUUUUGUACCGGUACACGGUAUUUUGUAUCGGUACACUUUACCAGAUUUUCGAAAAUUGUAAAUUUUUUUCUCAAAAAUUCUUCAAAAUUAAUUUCAUAAAAAUUAAAAGUUGUACUCCAAAAAUCAUUAUGAUGAAAAUAAAAUAUUAUAAGAUUUCAAAAUAUAUCGAAACAUCAAAAUUUUAGUUUUCAAAAAUAAUCUAAUGUUUCAAAAUCAUCAAGAUGUAACGAUUAAUGAAAAAUGAUUUUUAGAAAUUCGGCAAAAUUGACAUCCAUUUGUCGCAAGUUGUUCAAAAUAGAGAUUUAACUAAUAUGACACCGGGGGUGGCUCUUUGAGCAUCUUUUCAUCCUAUCACCUUAUAACACCGAAAAAUUCUAACAUAUUCAUUUUUUUCCAACCUUUUCAGUUAUUCAAUUAAAUUUUCAUGUGGUAGCUUCACACACUUAUCAGACGAUCGAAGUGGUAGCUCUUUCCUACAUGUGGUGGUAGUUUUCACACUCCUUUUUGGAUGUAACUCUUUCUACAUCUUUUAAACAUAAGAGUUUCUUCCCUUUUUUUAAAAAAAGAAAUUUUCAAUUCAAAACUCCUCCUAAAUUAGGCAAUCUCAUAAUUGAAAAUAAUUUUGACAAAUUUUAAUCUAUUAGCGAAUAUCCAUCCAUCAUAUCCAACACACACAACCAAGAUAGAUUAAUCACAAGAGAUCAAAUUUGAUUUCAAAAUUUUGGUGAAUAUAUGUAUUAAGAAUUCGUAUAUUAAAUUAUUGUCAACAUAAUAAAAAGUGGAGUAAAACCGAUAAUUAAAAUAAAUUUAACUUAAUAUGAAUGAGAAUUUAAAUACCGGUUAACGCAUUUGAAGAAAUUUUAAUCUCCCCAAGAUAAUGAUUUUCAAUCGUCUCCUUUCUCAAAGAAAAUUUUUAAAUUCCCAAACACCUUGCCUCAAAUCAAUUUUAAAAACAAAUUUCACUUCGUCUCCUUUCACUUUGUUUUCUUAAAAUUACAUGCACGAAAAUCAUCAUGUAAUGCAAUGAAUAAAAAUAUGCAACAAGCACCAAUCAAAAUAUUACAUAAAAAAUCAACAACGAACUAAGACAUGGAACAAGAAAAGAUAUCACCUUUCUGAAUCCAGACUUGUCAGAUUGUUGGUUGUCUUGUCCUGUCGACGUUAGGCACGGUUUGCUUCAACUUCAAACCAACCGUUGAACGCUUCUUUGCUUGUGGCUUCGGUCGGGCUUGACGUUGUGGCUUAGAAGUCCGAUUCCCUUGAGGUACUCGACUUGAUUGGGUUUCCUUUGAAUUCCGUAGGGAAAGUCGAGUAGUAGAUGAUGCCGCUUGAUGUUUAGAAUUUGCCGAUUGAUUUUUCUUUUUCUUAUUCGGGCAAUUCUUUUUGAUGUGUGUAGGGACUGAGAUUUUGACAGUGCAACUAAACUCUCUGUUGACGAUGUUUAUGUGUGUAGUUUAAUUACAUAAGCACUCGUCAAGUUUCAGGAGAAAAUGAGCUAAAACGGAGAAGUUACGCGAUUAUUAGUUUUCACUUAAGUGAAUAGUAACUCCGGUUUUUCGGUGAAGCCACGGAGUAGAGUUGGCUUUCUCCGCGUAUCGGACUCCGUUCAUAGCGAUCCAAUAGCUCGUUUCGACCGGUUCAGCUAUUCUGGAACUACUGGCGCUGACGGAUUUUGAGUUUGAUGCACGAAUUUCGAGAAAAUCCAAAAAUACAUGUUUUAUAUGUAUUUAUGUGUUAUUCCUUCUAUUGGAAAGAAAGUUUGGAUUUUGUCGUGAAUCCGUGGUCGAUCGUGGUGAAACAAAAUCGUAGCUUUGUUGUCUCCGAGGUGCUGAUCGCACUGGUGCAAUCCGUUCGCAAAUCUGACGGACGGAUCUGCGGAGAUCGCACGUUGAUCGAGGAGAGGUCGGUGUUGGAAAAAGGGUAAUUUCGCAAAAAGUGCGAUAUUUUAUGUGCCGUUUCGCGUGAAUUUGUUUGUGAAGGUGUAUUCGCGCAUAUUUCACGCGUUGUGAAGGGCUGGGAUAGAAAUAUUCUUAUUAGAGGGGCUAAAUUGCAUAUUGCCACAUAUAUAUAUGUGUGUUGGAACCUAGGGCUUCGUGGAAACCCUAACCCUAGCCCUCCCUGUGCACCAGCCGCCUAGGAGGCCCCCUGCCCACGCCGUGCUUGCACCCCGGCGGCCGGCAGCCGCCGCCGUCGCCGGAAAAGGCUUCCCCAAGCUCCAACCUUCCUCCCUCUCCCUCCACCUUGGCCGAGGAAGUUCCAAGCACCAUCCUGAGCCGGCCAGGCCUCGGGUGAGGUGAGCCCCGACCCAGGCACCCCCGCCGGCACCGUCACCGCCGACCCCCACCGUCGCCGUGCGCCGCCGGAGCCGCCGUAGCCGCCUGCGGCCCCAGGGACACCACCCAGGCCGAAGCUGGGUGGCUCGGGUGUGUGAGCCCUGCCGCCGUUUCCCGACGGCCGCGGAGGUCUCCACCGACCGUCCGGCGACCACCGCGCCCGACCCCGGCCACCCUCGAGGGCCGCCGGCCGCCGCAGGUGCCCCCUGCCGCCACCUUUGUGCUGUACGGGCCGAGCGCGGGCCGCCUUCACUCCCGAGCAUCGCCGCCGCCCGCCGACGCAAGCUCGGCCACCGCCUCGACCCCCGCCGUCGUUCCCAACCGGCCCCGACCAGCCCCGGCCGCCGCGUCGCCGCCGGCAACUGUUGGAAAGCACCAAACCGCAAGGGAGUUGGCGGCUCCGUACGCCGCCGCCGCACCUCCGGCCGCCCUGCGCCGCCUGACGUGGAGUUCCCCGGAGCCCCGCCACCUGGUGCACCCCUUCCCGGCCGGACCGCCCGCCGGAAUACCGCCGGCGGCCAACCCUAGCUCCCCCCUCACUGUGAGUGUCCAUUUAUGCAUUCCAGCACUGUUUUCCCACUUUCCGGUAACUAUUCCGGCAAUCCGAAUGGUCUUUUUGACCUCGGGAAGUGAGCACGAUGAUCCUUAGGUCGUGCUGAACAUCGUGCUCACUUCCGUCGAGCCCUGAGAUGCCUUGGUUGCUCGGGCAACCGCGAUCUUCCUGCGGUGCGCGCUGCUUCGCUGACCUUCGCGUCGCUUGUGCGCGCACCGCAGUCGCCGAAUGUGCUCCGAAUGGUGAGCACGAUCUCCGGCACGCUGAAAUCUAUCAGCGGGUGCGACGGUUGACCCAGCGAACCUCGUAUCGCAAGAUCGGGCCAUAAAAACUGUCGAAAAUCGCAUAAAAUGAUAGAUUUUAGGGUUCAUGUUGUGCUUUCUUGCUUAUAACUUCGACUCGGUCGCUGUGGACAGCGUGUAAAUGCUGAGGGUAACCUCUGGACUAAUCGUCCAAGGCCCCAAGCCACUGCGGAGAUCGAAAAGCCUUGUUUGGGGCGUUUCACGGCGAAACUCGUCGACGGAACGCGAUCUUAGUUCGGUUUUUAUCCGACGGUGCCUCGGGAUCUGUUGUGAUGUCGCUAAGCCUUCUUGGCAGGUCACCCGUGUCGUUUCGGGGGUUCGAAAACGACGGGUGAGCGACUGGUGGGUCCCGGUGUCAAAAACGACACUUUCGGGAACCCGGUUCGAGACGUUUAGUCAAUGAUGUUUGUUCCGAGGCGAAGUGUGGUGUUUACUGCCAAUGUGGGUUAUUAUAGAGUAUUAGUGGUGGCGGUUGACUCCCAGUUGGAGUUGGGGAGUUCCGGGACAAUUAGUGGACCCCGGCGAAGCCCCGGUGCGAUAUUCGGGACACCCGGUGUGAUUCGGCAAUCGGUCUUGGGAAACCGAUUCCCGUGGUUCCUUCUCUGGGGAUUUUAUAUUAGUUGCUGACAUUAGGGUUUCCUUCUGAUCUUGUGGACCCUUUGUAGGUCCGGUUGCUCUGUUCCCCGCCGUCGUGAGAUCUGAUCCAGACUCGUACAGGUGGGUACUUCGAUCCGACGUCGGUACAGUGGUGCACGCUCGGUGACGUUUCCUUUACCCUUGUUGUUUAUAUCUUUUAUCAUAUAUACGUUGAGCCUUGCACCCAUACUGUUUCCUUAUUACUCUACUUAGUUGUUGCCAGGUGUAGUAUCAUGUGUAGGAGUAGAGUAGACUUUAUCUGUAUAUGAUCUUCAUGACCUGGUUGGUCGUCGUUGCAUCUCCUACACUUGUGACCUGGUUAGUGGUUUCUUGUACUUCGUAUCAGUGACCUAGUUGGUUGAUUCUUUGACUUCUGUUGUCCGAUGACCGUUGAGGUCGGUGUACCCUGAGAGGUCGGAUUGUCGGCUAGUGGCUGACGAUAGUUCAUAUCUUAUACUUGUGACAUUGUUGGUCGAGUUUCAUACGCUAUACUGGCGACCUGGUUGGUCGAGUCUUCUGUGUCGUAUCUAGGACCUUGUUGGUCGAGCUUCCUAUCCUAUACUUGUGACCUUGUUGGUCGAGUUUCAUAUCCUGUACUGGUGACCUGGUUGGUCGAGUUUCAUACCCUAUACUUACGACCUGGUUGGUCGAUUUGUUUACAUGAUGACCCAUGCGGUCGAUGGGCCCUGGGGGGCAGGAUUGUCGGCUGGUUGCCGACGGUUGAUCGUUGAGCAUAUUGCAUUGAUCGCCCGAUACUCGUCGCAUUUCACGAACACUGGCGGUCUGAUCCACAGCAAGGAGUGUUCUUUUCCGAAAAAGUGGUUGAAUGGUGACAACCCGUGAGCCCUAGAGGGGUUAUAUGCGUGUUAGAGCGGCAGUGGUACUGUCGGGAGGUGUUGCGGUGCGGACCUCCAGGGCAUUGGCUUGAGGUCUGCGGUGCUGACCAAGAGAGCAUUGGUUUCAGAUUGGGUACUUUUGGACUUCUUGACCGGUUGACGCAUAUGUCUAUAGUAGCAGUCGUUGCAUGCAUACUUACAGUUCUUACUUUAUAGUUGUCUUGCUGCUAUAGUAGAUAUUCAUGUAUGCUUUCGGUUCCAGUUACAGUAGCGGUAGCCGUUAUUCAGUCUAGUUCUUACUUUCUUUCAGUUUAUUGCUACUGUAUUUAGUAUAUCUGCUCAUUACCUCUUACAUCUCUUUUGUUUACUAUUGUUCCUACUGUAUUUCCACUGACCCGUGUUGUUGUAUAGCUCUUCCUGAUCCGGUGAGUACUCCUCGCCUUCUUCGGCUUGCGGUACCCACUGGGAGGGGAGACAUGUUUACAUGUUCUCACCUCCCCCACCAUUUUUCAGGUAUCGCGGGCGAUGAAUAGUGGGACGAGACGUGAGGUACGUGUGUAGCGGUCGAUAGAGCUUCCGACCCAGGUUAUUUCGGUAUAGUUAUUACCCUUAUUAUUUCAGUUGUUAUAGCUUAGAUAGUUAUAUGGUUCAGUAUUUUUAUUACAUUUGAAAAUAUGGAUUUUCGUGAAUGUAAUAAAUGAAUUUCUGGAUUUUGUGAAAUAAAAGGUUUUCUACCCCUCGUGGUAGCGUUUUUAAAGAAUAAAGGUUUCCGUGUAGGAAACAGUUUUCAAAAGGUUUUCUGUGGAUUUUGCAUCUUAGUAUUUCAAAACCUGUUUCUGUGGUUGGAAACAUUUUAACUGAUAGAUGUGGAUUUAUGUUUAAAUAUCGAAUAUAUAAAUGUGAACCUGUGAUGUGAAUGGUGUAUGAAUAUAUAAUUGUUGGUUAUUUGUAUGUUCAUUUGGUUGUGGUUGUACCUGGGUUACUUCUUGUAUUUGUGUGACGCCGUGCAAAUACAGGGGAGACUCUGUCCGUGUAAACAGUGGAUUCCCUGUGUUUGUGGCGGAUCUGGCAUACUCUGGGGUCAGGCUUUUCAAAAGAAAAAAAAAAAUUUUUCAGACGCUUUUCCGCUAUGUUUUAAACUAAAAGAGACCCCGGGGCGUGACAAUGUGUCCUUUGAUGCCACAUCCAUGACGCAGUUUUUCUUUUGAAUUUGUUGAGACUUUAGUAGUUGACUUUAAAUCCUUCUCAAUGUAAGUCCGCUCAUAACCGAGACUAAGCUUGUUCAUUUGACCCAAUUCGAGCAUAUGGUCCAAUUUCUUUGAUCCCGAAGAAAACUUUUGAAUGUCGGAUUGAAAUUGACAAACUUGAUUGGUCAAGACUUGAUUGGAUGUGUAGGUUUCUUUGAAUUGUUGCUCUAAAAAUCCAAUCUUGUCUUUAGAAGAUUUGAUUGUUAAUUCCGCUUCAUCUAGCUUCUCUUGGAGGAUUGAAUUAUUUUUCAAAUUUGAUUCCCUUUCCUCCUCGAGAGCUUUAUUCAUUGUCUUCAAAUUGUUGUUUUCUUCUUCAAGAUCCAAUAAACGCCUUCUCAACUUCUUAUUAUGCUUUGCCAUCUUAUUUGAUUCAAUAAGAAGUUGAUUGUAUGCUUCCGCUAUAUCCUCGUCGUUUGACUCCUCCUCGCUUUCGCCAUUAUCGCUCGAAGACCCAUGCAAGGAAGGAGAAAUACACGAGUCAGAAACACUAGGGGAUAAACAAACAACAUUAGGCGAAGACAAAGAAGUGUUAGUAAAUAAAGCAAGAUUUCCAUUCUUUUCUUCGUCACUUGAAGUUGAUUCGUCCGAAGUAGAAUCAUCACAAGUUUUUGCUUGCAAAGCCUUUUGUUUAUAGGGUUUCUUAGAAGGACAAUCUGUUGCAAUAUGGCCGUAGCCUUUACAUUUGUAACAUUGGAUUUUCCCUUCAAAUUCAUCUUUUUCUUUCGAAGACUUUGCAAGUUUUUUAUCCUUAGAUUUUGAACUUGAAGAUUGUUUAGAAAAAGAUUUAUGCUUCGAAGAUGAAGCUUUGUCCGAUUUGUUCUUCUUUCGAAAAUUCCAACGACACUUCUUCGUUAGGAGUGCCAAUUGAUGUUUGAAAUCCGCAAUUGAGACCUCUCCAUCAGAAUCCGUGUCUACGUCUUCUUCCUUUGAUGUUUUCAAUGCAACCCCUGUACUUUUAGAAAAAGACUUGGAAGAAGAUUGGUUAGUAGGAAAUGUCAUCUCAUAAGUUUGCAACGCACCUACUAACUCUUCGACUUUCAUCUCGUCCGGAUGCUUAACCGUUUUAAUUGCGGCAACCUUUGCCCUAAAACGUUUCGGAAGAGUUCAAAGUAUUUUUCUAACAACUUUGGCAUCCGGAAUUUUCUCUCCCAAGUUAGCACAUAUAUUAAUUAUAUCUUGAAGUCUAGUAUAAUAAUCGGUAAAAAAUUCAUGCUCCUCCAUACGAAUCGAAUCAAAUUGACUUAUCAACAUUUGGAGCUUUUGAAUUUUAACUAGACUCGUACCCUCAUGUGUAACUUGUAGAGUAUCCUAAAUUUCCUUGGCGGUUUCACAUGCCGAAACACGAGUAAACUCGGUUUGUGACAAUGCAUUAAAUAAAGCGUUUAUGCCCUUGCCAUUGAACGAAGAUGACUCUUUGUCGUCUUUCGUCCAUUUAUUUCUCGGUUUAGGGACGGUAGCAUUAUCGACGACUUCGGUAGGAUGUUUCCAUUCGAAUUCGAUUGAUUGCCAAACGCGCUCAUCGAUUGUAAUUAGAAAAGCUCUCAUGCAAACUUUCCAAUAGGCAUAAUUCGUGCCAUCGAAGAGAGGUGGUCGAUUAAUGUUACCGCAUUCGGCCAUGAUAACAAUUUAUCUAGAUCCCGCUCUGAUACAAAUUGUAAGUUUUAAGGAGCCCAAGGAUCUAUCUAGAUUGUAUCAAACACCUAGAGGGGGGUAAAUAGGUGUAAAAGUCAAAAAUCUCAAAUCUCAAUGCGGUAAAAAAUAAAUGUGAAAAAUAAAAAUCAUACCGAGAUUUACGUGGGAAAACUCCAACUUGGAGAAAAACCCACGGGACCAACACGUGAAAAAAUAAUUCACUAAGAGAAAAGAUUACAAGAUGAUUACCGACUCCACGGACUCAACCUCUCUUAACCUCCUAUGAAUCUCGCGCAAUCCUCCGGGUUGUCCACGCCCUCACGUUCGAAUCCACGAACGCCUCGCACACGUCCGAAUCCACGAACGCCAGUCGAAUCCACGAGCUCACGAUCCGAAUCCACGAAUCGCCUUCAAUCACGCCGAAUCCACGACGCCGUCCAUGAAGAGCAUCAUGAGUAUGGUGAUCCUUCGCUUAGAGUAUCGAUGAAAAGCAAGGAAAAGAACUCCAAGCGAAGAGUAGAUCAAAUCGACAUAUAGAUAUCAAUUUUCAAUAUCUCGAUUUGACCUAAAAGAUGCGUCUUUGAAGAAAAUAGGUUUUAGAUGAAAUCUGAGCCUCUAGGGUUUCUCAAACAUGUAUUUUCGUGAUGCUUGAUGAGUUAGAGAACCCUAAUACCUUAUUUAUCGGAUUAGAAAGUUUUCGGAUUUUUUACAUUGUGUACCAGUACAAAAUUAAAAUGUUACCGGUUACACGAUGACGGAACAGGAAACAAUAAAGCCUCAAAACUAGUUACAAGUUGAUGGUUGUACCGGAACAGGUUUUGUACUUGUACACUUGCAAUGUUGUACCGGUACACAGUGCAUUUUCCAGAAUUUGCACUGUUUUGGGUUUCGCACAGCUCCGAGGCACUUUCUAAUUCAUUAAACUUUGAUAUUUAUGAUUUUAAUGUCUAUAAAUAAGUAUGAAUCAUCAUAACAUGAAUUAAAACUUUACUUGAGCAUCAUGAUUCACGUCAUGAGAUAUUUCAGCUUUCCUCGAAGUCUUGGAUUCUUCGUUCUUCGACGAUACGCACCGAUCCUUCAAGACUCCGACUCAAUUCACGAAACUUGCCAACACACAAGACUUAACAUUGGUGAGCACAACCCACCUCGCAACGCUCUCCGAUUGCUUGUCGACACUUGCAAUCGGACUUCCGCGGCACACAAUAUCCGGUUCGGCUUGAAUACGCAAUCGAUCACCGAACGCCCGCUAAUCCGCGACCUAGGGUCAUCAAUGGUUCAUCUCUAACCUUCAAUUAGAGAACAAUAGGGUUUUAUUAGAUCAAAACCCGCUAAUUUCCAAACCCUCAUUUUACGCCCUAGCAUGAAAUUAACCUCCAAAUAUUCUAAAAUUAAAUAGAAAGACAUGCUAGAAACACUUUAGAGACUACUAGAACACUAAGCGUUAAGGAUUGAACCAAAUCCUAAAUACUUACCGAAAUUGCGAACGCUGAGUCGCCAAUCGGGCGCACGAAAACUCGAUCCGUCGCUUCCAACGCGUUCACAAGCUCGCUCUCCGCCAACGCUGCGAAUUUGAGAGAGAGAUCUAGAGAGAUGAGAGAGAUAUUUAGAGAGAUAAAGGGAGGGUUUCUCUUUCCCUCCAUUCCAUACGUGUGGGUGUGUGUGUGCUGUGAAGAAGAAAGGGAAGAAGCACCUUUUUACAAUCAACCUCCACAACACUAAUUUCGGUUUAGCAGCUCAGAAUCUGUUCCUUUUUGCUGGAGCCCUUCUGAAUGUCCGUUUGCACUCAAAUUUGACAGUCAGGCUCGGUUUAAGCUAACAAGAAAUAAAAUAUCUUAACUUUCCAGUUUGGACCACUUUUGGUCACCGAAAGCUUUACCGAAUUGUAAUCUCUAGCAGAUAGCAGUCGGAUUUUAUUUUUCACUUUCUGGGUGUCGGAAUGAUAUGAAACUUUAAAUCUAGCCUCAUAAAAAUAAUCCUGACAUAUUCCCAGAUUCAUAAUUUUUUGACACUGUGCAUUUUUUGCUAAAAAUGCCAGUCUCGUCUCUCACAGAAAAUUCUAAAUCUUCUGUUUUCAUUCCGAUUUCAACACGAGUCAUUCCAGACUUACAUUUUACUUCUUUAAGUCCAAUAAAAAUAGUAUCUUAUACUGUUUUUAUUUACACUUAAUUUUGUAUCACAAUCUGGUACAUUACAUUCUCCCCUCCUUAAAGGAGUUUCGUCCUCGAAACUUCAAUCAUACCUCAACUCGGCUUAUCGAGUAAUUGAGGACAACAUUGCACUUUCCCACUCCGGAGUGGCCUUACACAUAUUGAAACUGUCCAAAGGCCCACUACGGAGGAUGUGAGACCAUCCUGACACGCAUUUACCAAAUGUAACACCAAAAGUGCAUUACGGUUUUCGCAAGUCUCGGUGGCAGCGCAAGUCGACACUCGACGACUCUACACCCUCCACACCACUCGCUAACCAGCUUAAAAUGAACCUCUCUUUGCAUUUCGCAUCCCGUCAGGGAACACACUUCGAUUCGAUCACCGGCAUUGCUUAAAAGCAAUAUCAUUGGUGCAUUGCCCAAUUACGAGUGCUUCAGUUACAACCGGAUCUUUACUUUACUACGAGAUAGCACACUUCGGCACAUCUCCAAUUUCAAUCCUCUAAAGAGCAUUUUCUUCAGAUUCCGCGUGGCUAUCCACUAACCAAGUGUCUCCUAGAGACCACUUUAUCUUUUGAUACCAUAUGCCACAACCAACUCGAAUUCGUUCCUACAACGAACUUACACGGACUCUCCGUUCGUGAAUCCAAGCCAAACUCAUCGGCAGAGUUAUCGGCUAAACCGCUCACCGCGGUUUCCACAGGUAGACAAAAGGUCACCGAUCCUACGUAUGCCUACAGUCUAAACCUGUUGCAACUACGCGUAACGUCUCUCGCUCGCAAGUGUUGACCCAAUCAUCACUGGGCAAAAUUCUCACUUGGGAAUUCGCACACACUCUAACCAGGAGCAAACAUGACCCCAAACCACUACAAAUCCUCGGGUUGGGUCAUAACCGAACUCUCGGUAUACUAUCGAUCACACAAUCUAAUACGUGGCAUUCCACGCUCCUGGGUUUAAGCUCGGACUGCCGUGCUAACCAAAACUCUGCCCUACCCGUAGGUACCGGGCUGCUGCUCCACACAGCUGACUAUGCCUGACCAAACGGCCCCAGGCUCCACAGUCCACAAGUGGUCUAGGCACGGGUUGUCUCUAAGCAACAACCGAAGUCGUCGUCCUACACGACAUACUCUACCGAGCCACAUGUGCCACUUCCGGCUCCUAAGCACCUAGUGCGAGCCACCAGCCCUACGAGUGAUCCAAGGCACGCUUCACACUUAGCAACGCUAAAGUGCUACUGCCAACUCACUCUCUUGGUUGAAUUGAAUCCGCACUCCACGAGUAACUACACUCGAGCGUCGUACUCUUCUAUAGCGUUCCACAUUACGUUCCGCAUUAGGCAGCCUUGCCUAUGCACACCGGCCACACGAGCACGACUCACCCACCUUGCAAUUCGAGGUACUACUAGGCCCACGUGCUUGUACUUGACCACUAACCAACUGUUCCGUCAACAGUGAUUCUACUCUCACUGUUCGAUCUAUCGGAGCAACAUCCGUAAUACUCGGACUACUCGGGUGUUCUCAAGAGUCAUGGCUCAACUCUCGCAAUCUACUAACCACAUUGCUUUGAGAGUCGGUCCGCUAUUUUCCAUCCCUACCGCGAGUCUCACUUCUCGCCCACAGGCCACCAGCAAUUUGCUAGUGCCAUCAGGCUCUCUACUUGCUCCAGCAGGUACUACACUCUUACUGCAUGAGAUGCCCGGGUAUCUACACUUACCCGUCCAUUCGGUCCCUACUAUACUGAUAUACAAAUAGUAGCAACUGACUACAUGACACAUGCAUGCAACUAGGGAUGUCAAUGGGUAUGGAUAUCCGAAAUUUUAUCCAAACCCGAACCCGAAUGAAACGGAUAUAUCCGAUGGAUAUGGAUAUGGAUAUAAAAAAUAGAAACCUGACGGAUAUGGAUUCGGAUAUGGAUUUUGAUUGUACCCGACCCGAACCCGAAUCCGACCCGAACCCGACCCGAACCCGAAUUUAUUUUGUAUAAUAUAUAAUAUAUAUAUAUAAAAUUGAUGUUAUAUUUGAAUUUGUAUUUUAAAAAUUUAGAUUUAAUAUAAUAUUUUUUGAAAUAUUGAAAAAAGAAAUAAUUGUUUCGGGUUCAAAUUUUCGGGUUCGGGUUUGGGUUNGGUAUAGGUUUGGGCUUGGGCUGGUUUUUAGGCUUUGGGCUUGGGUUUGGGCUUGGGCUUUUAAACUUGGGCUUUGUUAAUAAAGAAAAAAGUUAUAAAGUUUUAUAUAAUAUAAUUUAAAUUUUAAAAUUUUAUGUUUAAGUUUAUAUUGUAGUUUAAAAAUAUAUAAUUUUUAAAAUCCGUCGUGUUUGGGUUCGGGUUCGGGUCUCGGGUUUGGAGUCGGAUUCGGGUUCAGGUUUUUAAAAAUUCACCCCGAAUCCGACCCGUUGACAUCUCUACAUGCAACGCACCAACUUUACAUCCUGCAGAAGCAUAUGCUUGCUUCAACUAAACCAUACCUGCCAUGAUGUCGUUCAGCCCGGUUCGCGUAUCCAUGGCCACUUGGCACCCGCCGCGAACCCUCCGAUUGCAUUAUCCUUAAUACCCGCUCUUUAGACCAUGCCGCAGGUGCCACACCUGCAGGCCGUCCCAGAGAGGAAAAGGCCGUCAUCAGUGUCAAGGUCUGGUUACUGCCUUGUAGACACUCACCUCGCACAUAGCCCAGUUGCCCACACCUGUAGCACUUGCCCUCCCGCUGCUCACACUGUUCUGGAUAAAGAAGAACACCCGCAAACAACACAUCCUGCAGAGGACCGAACGUGGUAGGUCCCCAGGACUCGGGAUCGCGAGUGCAAACACAUUGCAAUCAAUUGAGAACUUGACGGACCACCGGAUCCACUCGUUGGCCGUCCUAUUCCCUUUUCCUUGCAAUAAGACUCGCGCUCCACCCGCAUAAUUGCACUGCCUUGUUCUAUCUACAAGGCCUAAUCCUCAAAUCUUCUCCAAUCUACACCAAUCCACACUCGAGAAGGGCUCCUGGAGAGAGAGAGGGAGAAAAAUCAUAUGCAGGGGUGGUCUCUAGCUGUGAACAAGAGAGGAGGAGUUGGGGCCCUUUUAUAAGCUGCCACAAUUGCAUAAAAGCUCCUCAAACAAUCUCCAAUUGCAACAGACCAAAACUACAGUUUUCUGCAGUUGGUACUGGUACGCGAGACUUUUGUCACCGAUUUGACAGCUGCGUAGAGGCCAACCCGAGAGCUGCUUUCUUGGAUAGCCGCUCUGGUACCGGUACGCGCCAGGGGUGUCACCGGUUUAACAACCAAAAUUUUUCAAACCCGAGAGGUACUGCUCUCGGUCUGCUACGGGGUACCGGUACCACCUUGAUACCGUACCGGAAUGAAAUGCCCAGACUGCAGUUUAGCACUUGUUCGACUUCUACUUCGCGCCGAGCAAUGCUAAAACUCAUUAGUCCCGUCUGGAACUCAAUUUUAACCCUUCCAACAUUGUUGGAAUAUCGUAUGGAUUUCGUCCAACCAUAUCUCUCGCCACACCUCGGUCAUUCUGACCAAAAGUGGUUUAACACGACAAGAACCCACCAACCUCUUAGAGGUCAUGAGGGCCGCCGAAGCUCGCGAAGUUCCAAGUCUCCGCUCGCCUCAAAUUGCUCAGGGACAUCACUUGUCCCAUCCCGCGCCGAUCUAGAUGAAAAUUGCCUACGCGGUGCCAUCGCUUCUCGAACAUGACACUUGAUCGAUCCUCGACCCUCGAGGUCAAGUACGAAACAAUUAACAUCGACUCAAAUCGGGCGAAAGUCACGCAAGGGCGUCUAUUUUCAUCACUCUGUUUCAUGUUUUGCGCGCCCAACACGAACACCCUUAGUUGAGAAUAAACCACAACUUGGAUCUACCUCUAAUAUCCGUCUUAGAGGUUUAUAACACAACCCAAUCGAUUAACCUUUUGCCAUACGUCACAAGUCCUCGUCUCUCAAGAGCCUUAAUCUCUAUGGUUUACUAUCCUAGGGUCUCUUCGGUCCAACUAAACCAUUCCCAUUCUCUACUUUAUACUCUGAUACCACUUUAUCUGUCACGCCCCGAGACGCACCUAUUUGGUCGGAUUCGGGUCCGCUAACAAACCGCCGAACGGACAGAGUUUCUCCUGUACGUCCUUGGCGUCGCAAUCAAUAUAAAGCGCGAGAUUCCAACCAGGAACAGAUUUCAAGUAGAGAUUGCAUAAGGAAGUAUCAAAAACAUAAAACAACUAAUCUAUUAUAAGCAUUCACAUCACAUACUUUUUACGUAUUACAUUUUCAUUUUCUUUUCUUCCAAAUACAAUCAAGAUUACACAAAUAAUGAUUUCCUUCUCUUUUCUACACCCCUAGGUAGGUUGACUCGGGGUACCGCUAUCUCUGGUCUUAGUAGUAGGGCGCUAUCUACGAAGCUACGCCCUGUCCUCGCGCCGCCGCGCCGCUCACGUGUGAACCUGUACCCCCAAAAAUAACACGGGGGUGAGAACUAUUGUCCAUAGUUUCCAGUGAGUAAGGCCACCCAAGGAAAAAGCUCGACCCACCAGGUCCGAAGGAGGCACUGUAACAUAUUAGUCCAACAAGUAUUCACAGAUAUAUAUAUUUCAUCAAAUAUUUUAUACAACUAACAUUUAUCACGUUCAUGCCUCGCAACAUGCAACAAUGCAAAUCAUGCAACUCAAUAUGCAAUGAGGUAAGUAGAUUUACUAAUUCUACUCGCUAUCCACAGCUCAUCAAAAUGACAUCUAAGUUUUCCUCUAUCUUAAAUUCAUGUCAAUUAUAAUUCUGCUCAUAAGGUUUCAUCAGCCUUUACUGUUGCUCACAAGGUUUCAUCAACCUUUACAAAGCUAUCCACUUGACUCGGUCUUGAGUCAAUCAUCUGCGGAAUAUCGCGCAAAGCCAGACUCAAGGUGAAGGACAUCUCACUUGCACCUUAGCCUUAAAUCCACUCAACUGGGAUACCAACUGGGAUGCCAAUCGACUCUUCUAGGAUUCAUCCAUAGCUCACAAGAAUGUCACCCAAUCUCACUAGCUAACCAAAAGGUUAAACCCCGACUCACUUUAAAAAUCUCAUAGGUGAGGAGAAUCUGCACUCGCACACCGAGACCGUCUGCGGAACAACUACAUCUGCCCCUAUCGUGAAGUACUCCGGAGACCACUGUUUGAGUGGAGCGACCACGCCAAGUAAAAAUAGACUAAGUGAGUAUAAUCCAAUCCUCUCACUCGAGAAUACCCUGUCUACUAGGUUUAACAACGACACGGGAAAUCCACUAAUCCCAACAAUAAUGUCACAAGUGUCUCUACUACACUAGUUUCACGUGGCACAUAUCCACGACUCGGGAAAUCAUCUAUCCCUAUGUUUAUGUCAUAGUGUCUCUACUACACUAAUCCAAAUGCCACUCGAUCUACUUGUCAUUCUACUUGUCCACAUCAAGUAUUAUAGUUUUCAUGUUCUUGUUUUCCAAUGUCGAAUUCUCUAAUCGACCAAGUUCAAUAUGCAUAGUUCCUCUACUGUGAUCCACAAUAUGGCAACAUGCAUAUCAUCUAGCAUAUUCUAUAACAUAUCAUCAUGCAUUUAUUUAGCAUUAUGUAAUCAUGCAUCCCAUCUAACAUUUUUACAAUAUAUCAUCAUGUACCCAAUGGUAGUCUAACAUAGCAUUCAACUUAUGCAUUCAUAUGUUCUACAACCAACUACCAUUAUAUGCAUCAAUAAUAAACAUCACUACGCUUCGACAUAGAAGCGAGCUAAACAUUUCGGUGAGCACAACCCACCUCGCAACGCUCUCCGAUUGCUUGUCGACACUUGCAAUCGGACUCCCGCGGCACACAAUAUUCGGUUCGGCUUGAAUCCGCAAUCACUACAACAGAAUUAGGUUAUAGGGACACAUGUUUGGGACACUUUCAUGUAAGUGUCCCAUUUUUGCCAAAACUUAAAAAAAUAUAUACUAAUGCUUAAAUAUAAAGCCCAAUCCAACCAAAAAUAAAAGGUUACUCUACUCAACCCACCCCACCCAACCCAUUCGGCCCGAUUACAAACAGAAUAGAAAAAAAAAAAAAUCGAUUACUAUCUCCCCUUUUCCCUUCACUCAAUCCAUUGAAAUUCUAGACGAAGAGCCAUUCCCUCUCGUCCUCCUCCGACAUCGCAGCCAAUGAGGUAGAGUUUCGACGGUUGCUAAAUGCUUAAAUAAGUGUUGGUAAAUUAGCAACACUCUUUUUAGGUUAUAGCGACACUUUUUAACUGUCACUAUAUACCUAGGGACCCCACAUAUAGCAAUACUUUUUAAAAAUGUCGGUAAUUUAGCCAGCAGCACUUUUUUUUACCUGUACCGACAUUUAAAAGUGUCGCUAUAGACCGUUGUUGUUGUAGUGAAUCUAUCACCGAACGCCCGCUAAUCCACGACCUAGGGUCAUUAAUGGUUCAUCUCUAACCUUUAAUUAGAGAACAAUAGGGUUUUAUUAGAUCAAAACCCGCUAAUUUCCAAACCCUCAUUUUACGCCCUAGCAUGAAAUUAACCUCCAAAUAUUCCAAAAUUAAAUGGAGCGACAUGCUAUAAACACUCUAGAGACUACUAGAACACUAAGCGUUAAGGAUUAAACCAAAUCCUAAACACUUACCGAAAUUGCGAACGCCGAGUCGAAAGCACGCCGCUUAACCGGGCGCACGAAGACUUGAUCCGUCGCUUCCAACGCGUUUACAAGCUCGCUCUCCGCCAACGCUGCGAAUUUGAGAGAGAGAUCUAGAGAGAUGAGAGAGAUAUUUAGAGAGAGAAAGGGAGGGUUUCUCUCUCCCUCCAUUCCAUACAUGUGGGUGUGUGCUGUGAAGAAGAAAGGGAAGAAGCACCUUUUUACAAUCAACCUCCACAACACUAAUUUCGGUUUAGCAGUUCAGAAUCUGUUCCUUUUCGCCGGAGCCCUUCUGAAUGUUCGUUUGUGCUCAAAUUUGACAGUCAGGCUCUGUUUAAGCUAAUAAGAAAUAAAAUAUCUUAACUUUUCAGUUUGGACCACUUUUGGUCACCGAAAGCUCUACCGAACUGUAAUCUCUAGCAGAUAGCAGUCGGAUUUUAUUUUUCAUUUUCUGGGUGUCGGAAUGAUAUGAAACUUUAAAUCUAGCCUCAUAAAAAUAAUCCUGAUAUAUUUCCAGAUUUUCAUAAUUUUCUAACACUGUGCAUUUUCUGCUAAAAAUACUAGUCCCGUCUCUCACAGAAAAUUCUAAAUCUCCUGUUUUCAUUUUGAUUUCAGCACGAGUCACUUCAGACUUAUAUUUUACUUCUUUAAGUCCAAUAAAAAUAGUAUUUUAUACUAUUUUUAUUUACACUUAAUUUUAUAUCACAAUCUGGUACAUUACACCAGUGCUUCUACCUCUUUCAGGAGCAUCAGGUGUACCCCUUCUUCAGUAACUCGAACAAACGAGAUCUGGUCAAGGUUUGGGUCGGCCCAGUUGAUGUGGCCGACAUCCUUUACAUUUACGUUUAGGGGGCGUUUGGAUUGACGUAUUUGUAGAUUCAACGUAAGUCAAGUGCAGUGGUGUUUGAGUUUCCCUGAAGUGUGAUUAUUUUUUUUGUUGUUUGUUUUGACGUAACUCGUACGGCCUGAAAGUUAAAUUCAAUCACUUCUGUUGUUUGUUUUGAUGUAACUUGGUGCUGGUAAAAUUAGUUUUUUGAGUUCCGUUGUUUGUUUUGACGUAAGUAAGUAGAUCUUAUUAUCUCCUAAAUAUAGUAGUAAAUUUACCACUAUAAAAUUUAAUCUAUUAUAUAAUUAAUUUUUUUAUUAUUAUUUAAAGAUAAUCCUAAUUUAUUAUAAAUAAGGUAAUUCUAACCCAUUAUAAAGGAAGUAGAGUUUAGAUUUUACNACCACUCCUUGUAGAAGAAAAAUAAAUCCAGUAGUCAAUUUUAUAUCAGCAAUAUUACUUAUCCAAUUUCCUUCCAAUACCGCAGGAAAACCAGUAUAAUGUAAUUCAUAAGAUACAGUCCCCUUCAGAUAUCUCAAGACUCUUUUUAAGACAUUUCAAUACUCUCUGUUUGGAUUACGGAUAUAUAUCCUCAAUUGGUUCACAGCAUAAGCCAAAUCAGGUCUAGUGUAAUCCACCAAGGCGAUGUGAAACGUGUCUCACACUUCCGGCUGGUAAACAGCUCUGAUACCAAAUAUAUAACGACUCGGCCCAAUAACUUGUUGGGCUCAAAUCACCGAUCCAAAAUACUUGAACUCAAUAUUAGGUCCAAUUUUUCUCUUCUUAUUUCCAGAUAUCUUCACUUUAGCUAGGCACCCCCACACUUCAAAAUAAUUCUGAUUAGCCUUUCUACCACCAAUACUGUAAGGCAUCCAAGUCUCAAUGGUCCUGAUGAAUAUGAUAGUAGCAUUCAAUAUCCAACAGACUAUUUUUGUUCCCAAAGACUAGGAUCUUUGUUCAAGAAUAUCCGACGAAAGAGUUGAACGUCAUGUUGUGAGAAAUAUAAUGAAUAAUUUAGUAAUAAAAGAGUUCUCAUCAAAACCUUUCUAAGAAACCCAGAUAGCAAGGAUCGGUUCCGAUAAACAUCGCCAUACUACAGUGUUAAACUGUUGGAGUGAAUGUUAUCCAUAUACGGCCGAACUUCUCAUCAACAGUGAUGGAUUCUAAUUUUCCUUGUUCCAACGAAAACUCCAAAAAAAUACCAAAAAAAAACUUUUCAUAAAACCGAGAAGACCAAAUUAGAGAAUUAUAGAAACUCUGACCAAAUUCUUUUAUGCCCUUGCUUCGAAGAAUCCGAACCGCUCAGGCAAUUGUUGAGAACCGUCGCUCCACCACCGACUUCAAUCGAAACUCAAACUCCUCAAAAUAACAUAAGUGACUCCGACUCAUCCCAAACCAAAGUCAAAAUUCAGGAUCAAAAUUAAUAAUAAGAUAACUCACAGAGCGCCAUUAAGAAGAAAUUCCUUAUCAAACUGUGGAAGCGUGAAGUCCGGCUAUGAUUGUGGAACCGAUAGUAAUUCUUCACCCAAAUGCGUAUAAUAUAUUUUAAUUAUAAUAAAAGAAAUAGAACGAUAAAAUCAAAGCAAAACAACACCAAAGACAGACACACUACUUUGAAUUGCUAACAUAACAUUUAUGUUCAAUCCCUGUAAGAUUAGAUAACUGUUUUUCGUAUCUUUAUUAUAAAAUCCGUCACGCAGAAUAAAUAAAUAAAAAUAAAUAAAUAAAUAAAUAAAUAAAUAUCAUAACCAGGUGUAGCUCACAAGUCCAAACAAUAGCACCAAUGGAUUGGGCAGUCAACUUAACCUAUAUUAAAUGUUUGACCGAUCUAAAGCUAACCAAAAUAUAUAUAUCCCACAUAUAACGUGGCAUGUAAGUAGCAUAACUACCAAUUCCAUAUGGGCCAACUCAACACCCGCAUACAGCUCCAAGAAAAAUAAGAAGUACAAAUCAAAACUGUUCCUACCGGAUCCUUCAACUAACUUUAUCGUAACCACAGAUCGCGAAACCGAUCGUAUAUAAUCGAACACUACUUUCGCAAUGGACGCAUCAAGAUCGACAAAGAUCCAACCAUGAUGGAGGUCUAUAUGCAUGCAACAAUAAAAUUUUAUGUACGUGAACACGCCACCGCCGCAAAGGAUGACGAACAUUAGACGUUAGCGUAAAAAUAAAUAUGCUCAGCAUGUGAAUAAUAAUUUUAUAUACAAUUAGAUAUUGUGCAAGAUACUUAUCAAUGUUAAUCUGGUUCUGAUAUCAAUUUGUAGAUCUCUACUCUAGAUAGGUAAAAUAAGAAAAAGGAAAAAUUAAGUACAUAACAAGAUUCAUGAUCAAAAUAAAAAGAAAUAACUCAUGGCGCAUCAUCGAAAAGAAAAAUUUUAAUUACUAUAAUAAAAGAAACAUAAAUAUUAAAUUAACUAACAAUAUAAUUUCGCUUCUAGAUUGUUGGAAAAAUCUUUCUGAUCUUUUACUACAAUACUCUUUAAAAACCAAAUCGGAAAUUAAAAUUCAAAUUUGGAAAAAUCCCAAAACAAAAUUAAACAAAAAUAUUGAAAAGAUAAGGUUUAGAUAAGGCCUGUGGAUCGAGGCGUGCAGAGCAUUGUCCUAGAAGCGAAAUUGCCCCUCUACGUGCGAGGCUUCCCGGCAAUUACUCCUAGCGAUACAACGACCACGUUCCACCCCGUCGGCACGCUUUCAAGGUGGCACAAAACGAACCCAACGAGCUUCAGAUCCAGCAACGAAAACUCGGCGAAAAUUAAUAGCGAGAAAGUAGAAAAAGACAAGAGGCUUUUGGUAUAACCGGGUUAUUAUUAUUCCUCCUUAACUCAUGCACCUUCGCCCCAUAUUUAUAAUCAAGGCGAGAAUCUUGUUCUAUCUCAUUAAAUCUGAGUAGAACAAGAUAAGCCUAAGAUUAUACCUAAAAGGAUUAGGAUUAGGAUAAAUAUAAAGAUAAGAAUAAAACUCAAAGAAUAAAUCACAACAAACCCAAUAAAGAAAUCCAAUCAAAUAGUUUUAAUAAGUUUUAAAUCAUAACAAACUCAAUAAAAUCCAACAUUCCCCCACAUGAUUUAAAACUUGAAAUAAAGAAAACAAAUAAACAGAAAUUCAAAAUAAUUCAAAAGAAUGCUGGAUCUUUUAUACCACGUAUUCGGUAAAGGUACCUUUCGGGUUUGAACCUUUACUUAGCGCUUGUCAAUGUACAUCCGAGGGCACAAUGGUGGACUUCGCCUUGAACCAAGGCCGGUGAAUCGGAUUUCCAUAAACAGCACACAUGGUACAGCUGUUUAGGUUCUAAGCGGGUGAGCACUAUUACGGCCAUGCGCUAGUAUCGCUUCGUGUAUGUUUUAGAAAAUCGCCCUUUUUUCAUAGUCGCGGCCUCACGACUCCACACAUAUAGUAGGCCCUCAAAGGGUAUCUGCAAGGUCAUACCCUGCCUUAUAGGUCUCGAAGCCAUUCAGAGCCAACGCCCUUCCUAUCCGCUUGCAUAUAUGAGCACUGUCGCCAUAGGGAUGAGGAUAUAAAAGUAGUGCUCCUCACAGUUACCUGUUCGACUUGUUUCUACCCAUUGAACCUGCAACAGGUUGGGUUGCCGUCACCGGUAACUUCUAUUGUGGGCUCAGCCCCAUCCCCCUCGACGAUUCUAGGAUCACUAUCCUAGAUAAUCCCUUUGUAAGCUAAUCAGCUAUACUCAUUGUAGAUUUCACAAAUUCCAAUCCAAUCGCAUUUUCCUUCAAAUUCUGCCGUCCAUAAUACUUCAAAAAUUAUUUAGUUGAUUUUCAAGAAAUAACCACUCCUUGUAGAAGAAAAAUAAAUCCAGUAGUCAAUUUUAUAUCAGCAAUAUUACUUAUCCAAUUUCCUUCCAAUACCGCAGGAAAACCAGUAUAAUGUAAUUCAUAAGAUACAGUCCCCUUCAGAUAUCUCAAGACUCUUUUUAAGACAUUUCAAUACUCUCUGUUUGGAUUACGGAUAUANUUCAGAUCCAGCAACGAAAACUCGGCGAAAAUUAAUAGCGAGAAAGUAGAAAAAGACAAGAGGCUUUUGGUAUAACCGGGUUAUUAUUAUUCCUCCUUAACUCAUGCACCUUCGCCCCAUAUUUAUAAUCAAGGCGAGAAUCUUGUUCUAUCUCAUUAAAUCUGAGUAGAACAAGAUAAGCCUAAGAUUAUACCUAAAGGAAUUAGGAUUAGGAUAAAUAUAAAGAUAAGAAUAAAACUCAAAGAAUAAAUCACAACAAACCCAAUAAAGAAAUCCAAUCAAAUAGUUUUAAUAAGUUUUAAAUCAUAACAAACUCAAUAAAAUCCAACAGAAGGUACGCAUUCAUUAGUAUGGAUCUAAUCACGCCCUAGUAAUAGAUUGUAAUGGCUACUGGCGUCCACUACGAAGAAAGUUGUUCGAAGGGUUUUGGAUCCAACUGUCAGCUUGGUGGUAAGUACACCUCUGGCCGGUUGACCCCUUCCAGCGAAGUCGGUCAUGGUUGUGCCAAUGGGCUUGAGCUCUUCUUCGCUCUUACCCAGUUUCUUGAAGAAUGACGUGGGCAUGACAUUGACCAUGGCCCUGCCAUCUAUUAUGACUCAGCCCACAGACUGUUCUUCUAUUGAUGCCUUGAUAUAUAGAGAGCGGAUAAAUCUAGUUUGCAAGGCCGAUAGCUUCUCGAAUACUACCGCAUCGGCUGUCUUGAAAUCUUGGAGUUGGAGCUAGGCUACUGCCAACUCCUCUCUAUAAUAAGGUUGUUCUUUAACCUCCGCUGACUCUACUUUAAAUUAGCAUGGCAAAGUAUACACCAUACUCACGUCAGUUGAGCUUCCUUUGGUUGCCUCUUCCUGAACUUUCUAUUUCUUUUCCUCGGACUCUCUAACUGCUUCGGCCGAAGAGUCGUUCUCUGGCCGAACUUUCCUUUCUUUAGGAGGCCAUCUAUCUCGCUUAAUAAUAGUUUCCAGAGAAGCAAUUUUCUCCCCUGACUCUUUUCGUGUGACCUUCUUUGUCGGCUCUACCGAAGCCGACUGCUCAAUUUUAACUUUAACCACAAUACGGGAUUAGAACCGCUUGCUUCAUUGUCAUUUUUUAUGGACCGAUAAGGCGGAUGCUGCUCAAGCCGCCUCCAUAUGUUCGGCCUCAUUCCUUUUGCUUCUUUCCAAUGAUUUCUCACUUCGGCUUGCAUUUUUUGCUGUUGCCAUUUUUGCGUCAUUGUUAACAUCGGUCCAUGCCACUUGGUCGGUGCUAUUACUGUGUGCCAUUGGUCGAUGGGCACGUUGGUUGGUACCUUUAUUGUCCUGAGGUGUUCCUUCAAGAUUUCUCUUCUUUCCCAAGGUCUCGGCCAUGGCUGAAUGCCGAUUUCAUUCACCAAUCUUCGACUGAGAAACUCUAUAUCCCUCUCGAUCAUUUCUUCAAACUCUGGUAUGGGUCUCAGCCUAGGCUGUUGAUGCCAUGUAGGCUGAUAUCUCGGGUGUCUCUACUGAGUACCAAAGGGCCUUUUCGGAUAAUCCCCUCGGUUCGUCUUUUCUUUGGUUUGAUGGUAGUAAUCGUCCAAGACUUUUCGAAUCAGAAGAUCCCUUUUGUCUCUUUUGGAUUCUACCUCCUCCUAGGGGUGGAACUGGGCCCGGGCCUAAACAAGGCCCGGCCCGAUGGGCCAUGUUUGGACCGGGCUUUGGGUAUUAAAAAUAUAACUUUGGGUUCGGGACGGGCUUAAAAAUUUAGGCCCGAAGAAAUUUUGGGCCUAUUUGGGCAUGUCCAAGCCAGGCCCGAGCCCGACCCAAAAGCCCGACAUAUUAAUUAUCAAAAUAAAAUAUUUAAUUAUAUAUAUUAUUUAUCUAUAAAAGAAAUAAAUAAUAUCGUAUAUCAUAUAUAGUAUAUAUUAUUAUUAAUGAUAUAUACUUAUAUAUAUGAGGAUAUAUUAUAUAUUAACAAAAUAUUUAGUUCCAUAUUAUAAUAUAUUUGAUAUUAGAUAUUAAUUUAUUUAAUGUGAUCAAACUAAAAAUACGCAUUUUAUUUUAAUUUUAUACAAAUAAAAGUAUUUAUGUAUUAUAUGAUAAAUGCAUAAAAUGGGCCUCCACAAAGCCCGAUGGGUAUUGGGCAUUGGGCUUGGGCUUGGGCUGGGCCUUAAUUUUCAAAAAAAAAUAGGUAAAAGUCCGACCCGAAGCCCAACAUUUUCUUUUGGGCCGGGCUUGGGCAUAGUAUUAUCCGACCCAAACCCGGCCCAGUUCCACCCCUACCUCCUCCUCAGACUUGUUCGAGGCCUCCUCCGAACCUUCGUCUUGAUUACGCUCGGUCUCUGGUAAAUCUUUCUAUUCUUCGGGGAAAGCCAUGAAAUCUUUCCAUUCCCCGUACAGCUUUUUUCCUGAAUAAUUGCUUCCUAAUCACGACGGGUCAUUUUGGUCUUGCAUUGGAUGCAAAGCCAAAGUGCUCUCUUUGUGCCGGCAAUAUCCUCCUCGAUCCUUCCUUCAAGUGGUGCCUUCCCUUUGAUAUCCACCAUGUUGAUAUGAGAAGGAAAUGAGUUUUGGUCAACUUUCAUAUCCUUUUUAUUUUCUUGGUCGGCAGAUACUAGCCGACCUUCAAUUAUUUCUUUAUGUAUUUGCCUUUUAAAGGUCGUGCAUUCAUUCGUUCUAUGGCUCCAUGAGUGGUGCCACUUGCAGUAUUUUCUCCUUCUUAAUUUCUCUCCGGAAGGUAUUGUUUGAUCUUCUUGGAGUUUAAUUCUGCAAUUUUUUAACAACCGAUCAAAUAUCAGAUCGUUUUUUGCAACAUCAAACGAAUAAGUAUAUGCCAUGACUCACGCUUUGGCUUCGCUAGCUUUUGCUGAUUUCAGCAGCGCACACUUAUAAGGCUAACCAAAUCUUCUGCAUGUACCUCGGUUUCAUUAACCGAAUCUUCUAUUUCGCUUGAGGUAUUCAGCUCAGCUUGAGCCGAAGUUUCUUAAACGAAAAAAAUAUUCUUCUCUUUCCCUUUGUUCCAUUCCCUAUUUUGGCUCCAUUAUGGAUGAUCAUCAUUGUUUCCUUUCCUGAAUUGUUCGUAUUGGGCAACACGAACACUUAAUCGAACAGGUUUGGAAAGUACUUGUUUUUAAAAUGGUCUUUUAUUUUGAAAUGCAAAUCAUUAAAUGCCAUCUUGGCGAAUUCAAACUCCGGCAUUUUCAUAAAACAUCGACUCCUGGCCGUCUUGAAUCGGUUUAAAUAUUGUUCAACCGAUUCACCUGGUUUUUGUUGGUAUUGAGCCAAAUCGGCUAUCGAUAACUCCGGUUUCGACCUAUAGAAUUGCUCAGAAAAUUUUCUUUCCAAUUCGUCUCAUUCUCGGACAGAAUUGGCUAGCAAACUUAUAUACCAAGUAAACGCCGUCUUGGUCAGCGACGUAUUAGACAAUCGGAGUUUUAGAAAUGGAAGGCCCAUUAUGGGCAAGUCCCAUCCCCCUCGAUGACUCCAUGACCUUAGUCCUAUUCAGGCCGUUCGUCAAAUAAUCUGCAAAGUUCUGUUCAGAUCUGAUAAAAUCAAAUAAGUAAUAUUAUGAAAAUAACCAUCUAAUAAAUUUAUGUCCCAAAAUAAUUUACCUCCCAAUCUUAGAAUUUGCAAAAUUCAUUUCCAAGAUGAACACUAUGAUAAAAUCACGAGAGCAAUUAUAAUAUCAAAAUUUAUCAAACUGAUAAAGGCGCUCCCCCCACAAUUUCAGAGAUAUACUAAAAUUUAAAAAUCAUGAAAUUUAAUCAUGUUGAAUAGAGUUUGAUUCAACAGCAAAAGAAGGACCAAACAAUUUUUUAAAACAAAAUUGAUUUCAAUUAGGUAAUUUCGAGCAAAUAACAUAUGCAAUCAAAUAAUAUCUAUGCAGCAAAUAGAUUUUAAAAAUUGCUGAAAUAAUAGGAAAAAUAAAAUUUAGAAAUAGUGUUGCAGGUUAGAUACCGUGAAAUCAAAUCUCCCUUGGAACAAAAUAUUUUUCCUUCACCUUUUUUUUUCCGAAAGUUAGUAUAUCUAUAUCUCUAAAAUUAAGUUUUAAUAUAUCAUUAAAAAUAAGUUUUAAUAAAUCUCAACAGUGGAAAAGAAAGUACUGUAGCAAUUUUUUUUAAAAAAAAUUACUGUGGCAAAUAUUUUAAACCGUACACUAUAAAAAAAAUAAUUUUACAGUAGCUUUUUUUUAAAAAAAAAACAAAUUUAAAACACCCUAAAGCAAAUAAGAGAAUAUAAUAAUUGAUAAUUAAACUGUAUGCAAUUAGCAAGUAAAUUAUAUGCAAUUGAAUUUGAAAAUACUAAUUCUAAUUUAUUUAAAUUAGAAUGACAAACAUAUAAUCAAAUUUGUCAAACAAAAAUAAUACGCAAUAUCUUUCUAUUUUAAGCGAAAUAAUAAUUAAACCACAUACAUGAGUGUGCUAGUCUCCAACAGCAGUGUAGCGCAAGGGCGACAUGAUAAAAUCCCAGUAACAAGCUAUCAUGGAUGGACACUCCUCCACAAAAAUUAAUUUAAUAUCGAGAUUGGCACGUAGCCCAUAUAUAUCAGAUAUUAAACUAAUAAGAACAGAUAUUACACUUCUCUGAAAAUUAUAAAUUUAAUUAGAACUCUGAAUUAAUUGAACAAUUAGAUUUGAUUCAGCAGACCAAAUGCGGCAGAUGUGAACUUUGUUAAAUAGUGCACAAAAUUACAAGCCAUUAAAUUCUAACUUUUUUUUUAAAGAGCUUUUACUGUAGCAACAACUCAAAAACCAUACACAGUAAAGAUUAAUUUCACUGUAGCAAAAAAAUAUUAUUAUUAUUAUUAUUUUUUUAAAAUAUAGACAAACAGUGAAAACUAUAUAUAAUCCAUAAUGUCCGUACCUCUUUUUUCCCAAAAGAGCUACAGUAAAGGCAAUUUUUUUUUUUAAAAAAAUACUCAUCAAAUAAAAUGUAAUUUAAACAAGAAAUUACAAAAUAUGCAAUUAUAGGUUAAAGUGCUAAUCCCAAAAAAAAUUAUAUUUAAAUGCCAACAAACAAAUUAACAAACAAAUUAUAUACGUAUAAAAUUAAUUUAAUACGGAUUAACAUCCGUUAGAUUUUAACCACAAUCAAAUUGAAAACACGCCUUAGAUUGUUAGAACAAAUACCGCAACGAAAAUCUGAUUGUGAUUAAUAUCUAACUAAUUUUGUAAUAAGAAUAAAAUCAAACUUACAGAUAAACGCAAAUAUCCAAAUAAUGAUUUGAUCUUAUCCGGAAGCGUGCGAGGCACUGCCCUAAGGCGUAUUUCCGUCCUUACGUGCGGGAUUAACCGGAAAUAACACCCCAAGGUACGACCGGAAUUCCUCCUCCUGCGAGCACGAUCGUGAAGGAGGUUGGCGGAGAUUCUUUCAACACCCAGGAAUAUUCAAAUAGUAAAAGAUAAAAGAUGAAUAGAUAAGAAUUAACAAAUUAUCUAAAUCUCAUUCUCUACUACUCUGUCUGAAACAGAGGAGAAGAAAGGAAGGAAAUUUAACGCUCUUUCUCGUUACGAGAAAAAGACGUAUUCCACGCAACGGAAGGGGAUUCCGUUUGGCGUAAGAAACGGAACGGAAAAAUAUUCCGUUAGUUUCUUACGCAUUAAGAAAGAGAAUAAAAAUAAAUAAAUAAAUAAAAUUAAAUAAGUAAAUAAUAAAAUAAUAAAUAAUGAUAAAUAAUAAAUAAAUAAUUUAAAAUUCAAAUAGAAUAAGAUUCAAAUUUUAAAAUUUUGAGUUUUUUUAACUAACAGAAAGAAUAUAUAUGUGCUGGUCACUUGACAAACCUUGAUAUCCCUUACUUUUGUUGGAAGCUUGGUGACGCUGCUUAAGUCCAUUUACUUUUUCUCUGGAGCAUAUUUGAUAUUAGUACACUUCAAUCUUGGAGUUGAAGUAAAAGUGAUUGUUGCCUAUUUCAACCCUUUAAUCGAAUGUGGAAGCCCAAUUUCACGCUGAAUUAAAUGAGUGAGAGUCAUCCAAUUCCUUCUUUUGAAUCCAAUAUAGAAGCUUGGGAGUAGAGUUAGAAUAUUUUCAAUAGGGAUAAUUGUCUAUAUACCCCUCAAAACUUCAAAAAUAUCUCAUUUAUCCCUAUUUUUUUUUUCUUUCUAAUAUAUUCCCCAUAGGUUCCUCCGUUAUUCCAAAAUACACCUGCAGUUAUCACCCGUUAAGUUAACUUGGGUUAAACGUGAGUUAAAUAUCUACAACAGUUAAAAAAAUUAAAAUACCACUUUUGCCCUUAACUUAAGGGUAAAUAAGAAAUGUUGAUGAUGGUAGGAAGGUAUAUUUGAAAAGACCUAAAAUACUUUUUGUGUCUCUAACUUAAAGGGCAAAUAAGAAAAGUCAGUGAUGGUAGAAGGGUAUAUUUAACAGGACAAAGUAGUAAUUUUAUAGAGAUAAUAGAGUUCAUUAACAGAUUUUAACUCUAGAGGUAUAUUUAAAAUAGGUUGGAACGUAAAAAGGGUAUUUUCAAUAUUAACCUUCUAAGAGGGUAAAUCAGAAAAUCGGAAAUUUUUCAGAAGUAUAUAAGCAAUUGCCCCUUUUCAAUAAUAGCAUAUUCGAAGCGACAACUAAUAUCAUUAGAUUUAACAUAGGCUAUUUGAACUUUCUAGAAUUGAAUUUCAAUAAUUUUCGACAUUACUUAUCUAAUAUUUUAAAAUGUCUUAAAUUUAAAAACUUUUAGCGUCUAAUAUAAAGUGAAUUUCAGAGAUCUUUAGAUAAAUGAUGUCGUAAAAUUUUCAAACUUAAUUCCUAUAGAAGAUCGAAGUAGCUUAGCGUGUGUUUUGUUGUGCCUAUAGCUAAUUCUAAUGAUCCACCGUCCAAAAUUUCGUGAAAGUAAACAGUUUUACUAAAUGCAAAUUUCGCAAAGUAAAUAGUUCGAUUUAAUGCAGAGCCAAGUGUCGUUUCAAGGAAAAAUUCUAGAAGACACCGGGUAUAUUGGUGAUGUGGCGUCACAAACCAAUCAAAUAACUCCUUUUAAAAAUAUAUGUCCCAUCAUGAUUGUAAAAAAAUAAUUUUAUUGUACUUUUGUUCGAAAAAGAGAUAUAUGAUUAGCUUGUUAUUGAUGACGUGGUGCAAGCGUGACAGUGUAGAACUUCUCCGUUCCAAGGUGGAAUAUCCGUCGUUCACUGCAACUUUUAUUCUGUAGUACAUCAAUCAAACAUGAUGAAUUGCUGAUCCCUAAUUCUAAAAUUCUAACUCGUUUUAAAUUCGUUUCUAGUUUAGAAUGCAACCAAGUACAUAAACAUGUCCCUACUGCACUUCACUGUAAGUUAGUUCACCAACAAAAAGAUGGACAUUUGUACCAUCACACCAACCACCUUAAUAUAUGAUAUAAAUUUUUGUUAAUUAUUUUUGGUGAAAUUGUGUAGAGCUAAUCUAAAUUUUGGGUCAUUUGAAGGACCAUCCAUUUUUUAAAAACUUUAAAUUUACUAACUGGCCUUUCAAAUAGGAUGAUUUGUCUCUUAAAAGAUAAAUGAAUGCACUGGGUGCAUGCAAAUAUUUAUACAUCACACCUUCAUUUUUUUUUUUUAAUACAUCCCAUGUUGUUAAUUAAAUUACUUAAUUCUUAGCUAAAAAGAACUAUAACUCAUUGUAUGGUAAGAGUUAACAAUAGAACGAAAUCAAUGACCGAGAAAAGUGCUUACAAAUUAAUGAAUCAAGCAAUAGUCUUUCAAAACUAGUAAACAAUUAAAAUCAAACAAAAUGAAAGAUUACGUAGUAAAAUCAAAAUUUACAAGCUUAGGUGGUUGUUUCCAUGUGACCUAAAGUUUAGAUUAGUUACAUUUUUGUAGUUUUCUGUUAAAAAAUAACUUUUAACUAGCCUUGGAGAACAGUUUGCAUCCCAAUUAAGCAUUUAAGCUAGCCUAUACCAAACUGCAACUGAUUCUGAGAGGUUAAGAGGCUGUUUGGCUCCAUAAAAAACUGUGAAAAAAACUUUCAGAGGAAAACAAAUUUUAUGUUCUGUAAUAUUUAGUUUGUAGAAAAAGAAAAAUAAUUUUCCGUCACGAUUGUUUGGUUAGAAGGAAAAAAAAGAACAAGAUAAAUAGAAAACUAUUAUAUAUAUUUUCUCCUAUUAUAUAUAUAUAUAUAUAUAUAUUAUAUUAUUGAUAUAUAAUAAUUAUCAUACUACAUAUAUUAUUACUAUAGUUUACAUUUAUAAAUAAAAUAUAUUUAAAAUAUAUUAUGCAAUAAAUAUGCAAUAUAAUAUAUAAUAGUAUUAGUAUAUAUUUAUACUAUUAUAAAAAAAUACUAUAUAUUUAUAAAUAAAAUAUUAUAUAAUAGCAUAUUUAUAUAAAAAUAAAAUAUUAUCUCUCUCAUAUAGGUGAAGUGGACCUCGUAGACUGCGUAUUCCACCCUUGCCUCAAGAGAGGCAUGCCCCCCAUAACUAUUAAUAUGCCAAACGUGCAUAUCAUAGUUUAUGCUUAUCUCCCAUAACUAUGAAAUUAUUCAUCGUCGUGGACAUGCAUAAAAUUUAAUUGUUUGAUCUUGCGGUGGCCGCAUGCUCUGGCCACAAGUUUAAUUGCUAUGUGAAACGUUGUCACGCCUCGGGGUCCCUUUUAGUUUAAAACAUAGCGAAAAAGCGUCUGAUUUUUUUUUUUUUUUUUUUUGAAAAGCCUGACCCCAAAGUAUGCCAGAUCCGCCACAAACACAGGGAAUCCACUGUUCACACGGACAGAGUCUCCCCUGUAUUUGCACGGCAUCGCACAAGUAAAAGAAGUCACCCAGGCACAACCAUAACAAAUGAACAUACAAAUGACCAACAGAUAUAUAUUUAUACACCAUUCACCACAGAUUCAUAUUUAUACAUUCAAUAUUUAAACAUCAAUCCACAUCUAUCAGUUAAAAUGUUUCCAACCACAGAAACAGGUUUUGAAAUACUAAGAUGCAAAAUCCACAGAAAAUCUUUUGAAAACUGUUCCCAACACAGGAACUUUUAUCUUUUUAAAACGCUACCACGAGGGGUAGAAAACCUUUUAUUUUACAAAAUUCACAAACCAGUUUAUUACAUUCAUGAAAACCCAUAUUUUCAAAUGUAAUAAAAAAUACUGAACCAUAUAAACACUCUAAGCUAUAUAUCAACAGAAAUAAAAAGGAUAAGAGCUAAAUCGAACAACCUGGGUCGGAAGAUCUAUCAACCGCUACGUACGUGUCUCGCGUCUCGUCCCAAUACACAUCGCCUGCGGUACCUGAAAAAUGGUGGGGGAGGUGAGAACAUGUAAACAUAUCUCCCCUCCCAGUGGGUACCGCAAGCCGAAGAAGGCGAGGAGUACUCACCGGAUCAGGAAGAGCUAUACAACAAUACGGGUCAGUGGAAAUACAGUAGGAACAAAAGAGAUGUAUAAGAUAAUGAGCAGAUAUACUAAAUACAGUAGCAAUAAACUGAAAGAAAGUAAGAACUAGACUAAAUAACGGCUACCGCUACUGUAACUGGAACCAAAAGCAUACAUGAAUAUCUACUAUAGCAGCAAGACAACUAUAAAGUAAGAACUGUAAGUAUGCAUGCAACGACUGCUACUAUAGACAUAUGCGUCAACCGGUCAAGAAGUCCAAAAGUACCCAAUCUGAAACCAAUGCUCUCUUGGUCAGCACCGCAGACCUCAAGCCAGUGCCACUACUACUCUCCAGUGCAUAUAACCCCUCUAGGGCUCACGGGUUGUCACCAUUCAACCACUUUUCCGGAAAAGAACACUCCUUGCGGUGGAUCAGACCGCCAGUGUUCGUGAAAUGCGACGAGUAUCGGGCGAUCAAUGCAAUAUGCUCAAUAAUCAACCGUCGGCAACCAGCCGACAAUCCUGCCCCCCAGGGCCCAUCGACCGCAUAGAUCGUCAACUGUAAAGAAGCACAAGAACCGACCACUCGGGUCAACUAGGAUGGGACAACACCGACAUCCUCUCAAACAUAUGCAAAUACUGCUCAAUGAACCACAAGGACUGACAAUUCAGAUCAACUAGGAUAUGAAACUCGACCAAUCAUGUCACAAGUAUCGGAUAUGAAACUCGACCAAUCAUGUCACAAGUAUAGGAUAUGAUGCACUGACCGACUAGGUCACAAACAUGUCAAAUAGUGAAUAUGAGUAAAGUAUAAUCAUCCGUCGGCAACUAACCGACAAUCCCACCCCUCAGGGUAUACCGACCUUAACGGUCAUCAGACAACAAAGGUUGAGGAACUCACCGAAUAGGUCACAAAUACUGAAUACUAGAAUCGACCGACUAGAUCGCUGAUCUCAUAGAUAAUCACGAAAUCGCUCUACUAUAAACACGAAUCAGGGUAUGCAGAAUAGCUAAGUAGAGCAACAAGGAAACAUGGUAUCACAUACAGAUAGACUAUACUCCUACACAUGAUACUAAGCAUGGAAACGUCUGAGUAGAGUAUAAUCAAACAACGUAGGUGUAAUGUAAACGAUAGAGGUGCAAAGCUCAACAUAUAAUAUAUGCAUGGAUAAUAACAAAAGAGAAAGGGUAAGAAACCAUCACCGAGCGUGCACCACUGUACCAACGUCGGAUCGAAGUACCCACCUGUACAACUGUCGCGCCUGUCUCCUGACUGCGAAAGGAUGUCAACCUGACCUACGGAAGGUCCACCGAGUUAGUGACUAACCCACAAGUAAUAACCAUUAAAUCAUAAUCCCGCAAACAAACCCACGGAGAUCGGUUUUCUGAAACCGAUUACCGUGACUCGUCGGAAGUCUCGAAAAUCACAUCGGGAUUCCGUCGGGACUCAGGAACUAUCCCGGAACGCACCGACUCGUGCUACGAGUCAUCCGCUGCCACUAAAUAUCAAUAAUCAUACGUCAUGGCAGCAACCACAGCUCCUCACGUCGAAACAAUUAUCGUCGGAUAAUCGUUUCAAUCCAGGUUCCCGAAAGUGUCUAAUUCGACACCGGAACCCACCGUCGCUCACCCGUCAUUUUCGAACCCUUGAAAUGACGUGAGUGACCAGCCAACAAGGCUCAACGACUAAACAAUCAAUCACGAAGCACCAUCGGAAUAAUUUCGAACCGAACCCGCGUUUCGUCGAUUGAUUUCGCCGAGAAACGAGCCAGAAAUCGCUUUCUGAUUCCCACAAAGGCUUGAGGCCUUGGAAGAUCAGUCCAGAGGCUAUCCUCAGCCCAUACUUGCUGCCAACAGCAGCCACGAUGAACAAAGUUGCAUAAAAGCCCAUCCGAAUACCCGAAAUCGCAUUAUUUCAUGCGAUUUCGGCGCUUUGAUGGUCCGUCUGCACAAACCAGAAGUGAAUCAGCGAAGCCGAGAUACCCGCUGACAGGUAUCGGCGUGCCGGAGGCCGUGCUCACCUUUCAGAGCAAUUUUGGCCACUGUGGGACGCGCACGAGCGACACGAAGUUCAACGAAACAUCGCACACUGAAACUAAAACACAUGUAACUAACUCAUCCGGAGCUCUCUUACCCUAAGUGAGGUGAGCAUUGUGAUAAAAAAUGACUGACGAUCACCGUGCUCACCUCCGGGGGCAUCGGAACAGCCUUGGGUCGCCGGAACAGUGAUCUAAACAGGAGACUAUGCGCAGAAAGGUUGAAAUCAAGCUUACCGGACAGGGGAGAGCUAGGGCUGCCCGGCGGUGGCCGGACGGCGGGAGCGCCGGUGGCAGGAGGGUUCAGGCAAUGCAGGGAGGCCAAGGUAUGCAUCGGCCGGCGUCGGGAGGCGGCGGCGACGGCAGGCAUUGAUGCCCUAGUCACCCAAAACCGAGGAGGGCACAAGCCGACAGGAAGCUCCGGCGGCGGGGGCGCCGGCGGCGGACGAGUGCGGCCGGCCAGGCGGAGCUGGUGCUCACGCCGGACGGCAGCGGAAGACGGCGGCGGCGAUGCUGGACCAAACCGAGCCCGGGCGGGUUCACCACGGGCUCCAAAGGUAGCGGCGACCAUGGCGGCGGCCAGAGGAAGGUCGGGGCGACGGCAGCACGCCGCCGGAGGUCGAGGAAGGUCGGCGCCCCAUGCUUCGGGUGGCGGCGACGCGCGGUGGUCGAGAAGACCAGGCCUCGGCCCGUUCAAGGUUUGGGCGGCCGCGGAGAGGGAGAGCGGCGGCCGGCGGUGUCGGGAGCGGCGGCGAUGGCGCGCGGGGGCACGCCGGAGGUCACCGGAGGGCGGCACGACCGAUGGGGAACGGCGGUGGCGCGCGGAGGCAGGGAUCACCCAGGCUCGACCUGGGUGACUGCUGCUGGCCGCAGGGAGUUCGGGCAGCUCCGGCGUGGCGCGGAGACGGCGGAGGCCGGCGGGGACUGCGCCGGGAAAGGGUCUCGGCCGAGGGAAAGGCUUCCUAGGGUGUCUUGGACCUUCUCUGAUGUCGAAGGCUGAGGGGGGUGAAGGUGGUGAUGGAGAUGAUGGAGGAGAAGGAGGUGGAGCUUUUCCGGCGGCCGGUGUUGCUCGCCGGCGGCAGAGGUGCACGCAUGGCAAGGGCAUAGAGGUGCUGAUGACGGUUAGGGUUCACUGGGGGUGCAAGUCGGCUAGAUCUAGGGUUUCAUGCUAAGAAAUCCUAGUGCAACAUUAUAUACAACCUGCAACUUUGUAGAGAAGUCCCCCAAAGAUAAUUGUUAUCAUCUGAGUCCCUGACAGUGGAUGUGUUUUGCAUGUACGCACCUCCAUGCUCGAUCUCACGUGCUUCGGUACAUAAAAUAUUACGACUUUUGUGAAUUUCCCGAUUUCCACUCUCGACCCCUUAGCGAACUUCAUGCAAUAUCCGACAAUCCGUUCAUCGGAUUUCCGAACGGAUUGCACCAUCGCGUUCAGCACGACGAGGGCAUCAAAACUACCAUCUUGUUUCGUCAGAUUUGGUCACGGAUUCGCGACGAAACCCAUCCGCUCUCUAAUUCCGUAUAUCUCACAUAUACCAAAGUAUAAACCCUAAAACCUUUAAUUCAAAUUCAAAUUUGAAUUCCCUACCACUAGUAGGUACCAGAAACAACUCUCACCUAACCCCAGGUCACAAGCACAGAGCACGAGGAGUCUUAAAAAUGCACGCAUAGCAAAGAGCGGAAACCCUCUUUUUGUUAAAACUCCUUUUUCUCGAAAACCGUGCAUCGGAUCUAAAAUUCGUCAGUGCCAUUGGUUCCAGAAUGGCUGAACCGGUCGAAACGAGCUAUUGGAUUGCUAUGAACGGAGUCCGAUACGCGCCGAAAGUGAACUCUACUCCGUGGCUUCACCGAAAAACCGGGUUAAUAUUCACUUUAAGUGAAAACUAAUAAUUGCGUAACUUCUCCAUUCUAGCUCAUUUUCUUCUGAAACUUGACGAGUGCUUAUGUAAUUAAAUUACACACAUAAAUAUCGUCAACAGAGAGUUUAUUUGCACUGUCAAAAUCUCAGUCCUUACAUUAUCCCCCCCUUAAAAGAAGUUUCGUCCCCGAAACUUGACCACAUACCCACCGAAAUCGAAUUCAGAUAUUACUUCCACCACUAUGGUCUCACCUUUGAGUAUUGGUCAAUUACAUUUUCAUGAAUUUGGACAGAUCAAUCUUCGAAUAAGGGGAAAAAUAGGACUGCGGUUCCACCUGGACGAAUCGAGGGAAAACGUACCAACCCAAAAUCUACGGACCAAAACUCACCGGGAUAACAUCAUCCUAUAACCUGCGGACAAAGACAGUCCCGCAACUAGGAUUAUCCGAUCCCAAUUUGCCAAUUCUGAGAUAAUUAAUCAACAUUCAGAAAUUUAGGUCCAUUCUACCUUGGUCCGCAUUGCCGUAACCGACUCGACUAUGUCACAAGUUCACGUAGAAAAGUCACGAGACAACCAUUUUAAUCUAGAGUCUAAUUACGUAGACUGAAACGAAAAACUCCAACAACGUCAACCUGCUCACCAUGAGCGAAUAAGAAACUUUGUUCUAAGACCUGAGUCAAAACUCUCACCUUGGAGACCACAGUGUCCUUCCAGUAACUACACAAACUACCAAAACCUCCAUCAAUGGAUAGUCACUUACGACAAUCUAUAGUCCUAGGUCCAAGACCUCACUUUUCACCUGACCAAAAGGUCCAAACUGACAAUAACGACUGAGCUAGAUAAUUUGUCUCCUCAAACCUAAUACGGUACCAACAGACCACCAAAAGUUCCUUGCAAGUUCAUCGCUUGAUGCACAUGUCGCCAAUCGCACAUACGAUAAUAACCAUCGGUGAUGCUCAACACCUGUCUCUACGAGACCCUGUCGCUGCCGUUAUACAAGGGACCCUAGCGAUCGAUGUUCCCAGCAACACCCAAUUACUUGUCUCAUUGAGACCCAAGCGCACCUGUCACCAAUUUGACUGGACAAGCAUACCAUUUCAAGGUUUGCAUGUUAAGUCAAGUCGCAAACCUUUUACGCUAUCACAUAUGGUGACAAUCAAAGCCAACAACCAGGCUCAAGUCACUCCACAAUUGUGAUUCCGAACCUCUCGACAAUAGAUCGAGACUAUUAACCAAACAAACCUUUUAGUUGUAACAAGUACGACUAAAGAGCUAACAAGCACCCAAACUCGAACCUACAUCCGAACCAUCAGCAGUGACGAUAAGUCAACUGCGCAAAACCUACCAGGAAAUAAUCCAAGACUCGCUAUAAGGACAAAGAUGACCAUCACUCAAGCGUUCUCAUAAACAAAUAGAGAAAACACCGACCCAAUUCAAAAGUCCCAAACGGGAAGAUAGUAUUUCGUCCUUCUUUCGACAGUAUAUUGUCUGCAGCCAAUAUACUUAUCAAAAGAAAAGUGAAAUAUCCGAAGAUCCACUACCAACAACGAGUUGGAAGUGUGACAUAUCGAAGUAUCAAGCCACCUGAUACCUCUUCACGGAACCACGAGUUCACAACCAAUACUGUCGAACCAUCAACUUUCAAUCGACAUUCGAAAUCGAACGACCCUAAGACGACUCACAGGAGUCGUUUAACUAUCAACAUGCCGAAUGGUCUUGCGAGACUAGCGCCAACUACACAAACUCGAGGCUAUUGGAAAUGGUUUUUAACGUUUUCGCACACAACCGAGCUUUGUGUGGUCUCUGCGUGCUCGGCUCGUGUGGUGAGUGCGAUUUUUGAAGCAGUUCAUCCAAGUGUCUGCGAGUAUGGCUUUCCGCGCCCCAAAGUAGGGUAACUGUGAGACUGGGCUUCUAACAUAGACAGUCUGACGCAACGACACAGCCUAAUGUUUUUUGCGUGUAUAGUGAUUGGACGCAUCGAAUAUGGAUGCAUGCGCGCUACGAACUGACCCAAACUGUUGUCAUUCCACUCUUUAGGAAGAUAUGAACGAGGUAGGUCAAAGAUCCGAACGCUCCUCGAUUUCACAGGCACAUCAAGGAAGAGAGUAAGCAUAAUAACCGUCAGAAUCUGGGAAGCAACACUAACAAUGCCAGUCCCGAAUACGACUGCCCUAUCCAAACCUCUGGGCUAUACGCCAUUAGUAGGCUUCCCAUGAAGUCACGUCGUAAUCUUGAUUCACAGUGCUUUCGGUCUAACGAAGACACCGCAAACAGCUCUCGUGUCUCAAGUAGAGAGAGGGCCUGGCGUCACGCAGUAUGACAUCCGCUAGCCGAAGAACACUGCGCUUGUCAAGGCUCCACUUCGACAGGAUGUGGCAAACCUUGGAACGUUCGCACCAUCAAUGUUUGUUUGGUUCAUUGAGGCAGUAUUGCCAUAUGUUUGAGGAUGUCGAUGUUGUUCCCAUCUAGUUGACCCGAGUGGUCUGUUUUGUGUUCUUUCAGUUGACGACUUAUGCGCGUGAUGGGCCUGGGGCGGCGAAUUGUCUGCUGGUUGCCGACGGUUGAGCAUUGAGCAUAUUGCAUUGUGAUCGGCCGCAUACUCGUCGCACUUUCACGAACAUGGCGGUCUUGAUCCCACCGCAAGGAGUGGGUUUUUCCGAAGUGAUUGAAGCGGUGCAACCCGGAGCCCUAGAGAGGUUAUAUGCCUGGAGAGUAGUGUACUAGGCUUGAGGUCUGCGGUGCUGACAAGAGAGCAUUGGUUUCAGAUUGGGUACUUUUGGACUUCUUGACGUGUGUCGUAUAUGUCUAUAGUACAGUCGUCGCAUGCAUACUUACAGUUCUUACUUUAUAGUUGUCUUGGCUAUAUUAGAUAUUCAUGUAUGCUUUUUGGUAUCGCAGUUACAGUGCGGUAUAGCCGUUAGUUCAGUCUAGUUCUUAUUUCUUCGUCAGUUUAUUGCUACUGUAUUUAGUAAUAUCUGCUCAUUAGUCUUUUACAUCUCUUUUGUCCUACUGUAUUCCACUGACGGCCGAUUGUGUGUGUAUAGCUCUUCUGGAUCCGUAGAGUACCUUCCUUUUUCGGCUUGCCGUCCUCAGGGAGGGAGACAUGUUUACAUGUGUCUCACUCCCAGCCAUUUUUCAAGGUAUCGGCAGGCGGAUGUGUUGAUUGGGACGAGACGCGGCACGUAGUAGCGGUUGAUAGAUCUUCGACCACCAGGCUUGUUCGAAUUGGCUCUUACCCUUUUUAUUUUGUGAUUAUAGCUUCAGAGUGUUUAUAUGGUCAGUAUCUUUUUAUUUCUGUUGAUAUAUUUAACAUCAAUCCACAUUCAUCUUAAAAUGUAUUCAAACACAGAAAAUAUUUUGAAAUCUAAGAUGCAAAAUCCACACGAAAUCUUUGAAACUGAUUCUAGCUCAUUUUUUCUUGAAACUGUGACGAGUGCUUAUUAAUUUAAUAUUAACACUACAUAAACAUUCGUGCAACGGAGGUUUAUUUGCACCUGUCAAUCUCUAGUCAUACAAACGUCGAAAAAUGACGUCGAUGAGAUUAGUAUAAAUUUGUUUUGAUUCGAUUGCAGUUUAGCUAAUUAAAUUCAUCUAUUUUGCAUGUGAGUUCUAUCUCUAUAUUUGGCUCGCAUCAAGUUAAUAAUUAGAUAUGGCCGUACGCAACAUGACGAUAGUGGAAUCUAUGCCUACAUUUCCUUUGGGCCAUGAAUUUUUUAUUCAGUGAAGCGCAAUUGGACCCUACGUUAGAUUUUGAUUAAGUUGCCACGUUAACAGGUCAUGCGCAAGACUAUUUUUGUGGUGGCGUACGGACCUAUUUACUUGAUGCGUGCUAAUACAUUUUAUUAUUUGUUAAUUAAUGAUAAUUCGUAUUCAUAGAAGAUAUAUGUUUUAAUAUAUGGUGUGAAUAUAAAGAUAUUCGUCAGCCAUAAGAUUUCUCUUGCAUUAGUUUAUGUAUAUUUGGGUCAAUUACGCAAUACUCUACAUUUCAAUUGAUUGCGAUGUCAUGUUUUAAAUUAUCGCAUCUAUAUUCUUAUUUUGACGGAUGAACUGAAAUUAAAUAAUCAUAAGUGUUUUCGAUUAUUUAAUGUUUAGCGCUGAGUAAUAUUAUUUAUAUUUCGAUUGAUUAGGUGCAAAGCCAAAGCGCCUUAUUAAAAAAAAAAAAUUUAUUUACUUUAAAGUAGCGCUUCCGGAUAAUUUUCAUGUUAUAUGCAGCACUAAGUCAGAUUAAUUUAUUAGUUCAACUGUUUGUGUGCAAGCAAAGCGCCCGACGGAAGAAAAGAUAAUUAAUUGUCUUAAGAAGUUGCAUGCAGAUUGUAUUUAAUAUUAUGUUUAGUCUGCUCCGAAAGGAGGUCUAGAAUGAGGUAAUAGGGUGGUUAGGAUGGUAAUUUUCGUACUCGUUUGCGAGAAUUUGCCUGGCCAAAGCUGACAAUUUCUUCAUAUGGGAAAUUUGAAUUUAUCAUGACCUACAGAAGUUUAUAUUUAUCUCUCAUAGAGAGAUUGCAUAUUUAUGCUCAUAACUCUGCUCCAAAGGAGUGUUAUGAUGUCAUUUUAGUUAUGCAUAGAGAACGAAAAUACUUAUGCUUGUAACUCUGCUCCAAAGGAGGGUUUGUGAUGUCAUAUAAAGUGUAUUUUUUUUAAAAUUUUGGUUGGUGUAUUUUUGAUGUGGCUUUUUAUGAUUAAACAUGCAUUUUUUUUCAGCUAUGACUCCAUUUUCUUUCUAUUGGUGAAUCUGUUCUAUACUUAAUGGUUUAAUUAUUCGGAGUGGGGAAAACAAAUUAUGUUUAUUUUGGGCCUAUAUGGAUUUAGAUUUGGCUCUGUGCGAUGAACAACCGCUAAGAUAGUGGGGCCAAUAACUCCACAGCAGGAUCGCGCAGGAAAAGUGGGAGCCGAUCCAACCGCUUAUUUGAUGCUCAUAAAGUCAAGGGUAUCAGCAUAAGGGGAUCAAUCCAGAAUGUGAUAAAGCCAAGGUAAUAUCUAAGGCAUUGAGGAGCAAUUUGUCAGCUCCGAUAAAGCUUUAGCGAGCACUUAAUGAAUAAAUGUCUUCCAUGAAGUACUUCGGAAAUGCUCAAUUCGCGAGCACAUUAUGGAAUGCGAGAUAUUGCAGCGCACUCACCGCACUUGAGUAGCAUCUCUGAUUCAUUUUUAGUGCACUUUAUUUUGACUCUUUGCCAUUGAAUACGGACCAUUUCAGAAUUUCUUUAUACACACAUAAAGAUAAAUGGUCUGUUAUGAAUUAUUGACCAUGUGUGUGCAUGAGGAAGCGCAGUAUAUACAAGAGAAACAAAUUCAGUUAACUUUGUUUUCAAAAGAGACAAAUAAGCGGGCUAAUGAUAAGGGUAAUUCUGGUUUUUAUGCAUGAGUUGCAUUUAGUUUCUGUUCCAUCUAAUAUUGGUGGAUUGAUCUGGUGCACUGCCACGUGGCGAAUUCUGUGCAGGGAUUUCAGAAUCGCAGAAAACCAGUAAAGAUGAAGUGACUACUAUACAGCUGAAAGCAAUCAUAAAGUAGAGUUUGUUGGAACAUUUAGAUUAGUUCUUUCCACUGGUCACAUUUUGGAUUUAAUUGAUUCCUUUUAUGUUCCAAAUUUUUCUAAGAAUUUAUUUCUCUUCGAAACUUGUUGGAUUGGGAUAUAGUUUCAGUUUUAAUAAUAAAGUUUUUUCUUUAUCCUAUAAAUCUCAGAUAGUUGGCUCUGGUGUUUUGAAAUAAUCUAUAUAAAAUGUCUUUAGAUGAUUAUUAUAGUGAAUCCUCUUUACAUGCACGAAAUGUUGGAUCAAAACGUGGCAUUAAUAGUGAAAAGUCAUCCAUGUAUGGUAUAAGGUGUGGGACACAUCUCGAAACAGAAUCAAGGGUUAAUUAGAGAAGGCAUUUAGAUGAUUUGACUUUCUGACUUUGGAUAUGUGUGGACUGCAUAAGGAAAGCAGACCAAACUUCUUUAAAGGUGGCUAAAAGAUGUGAUGGAAUUAGAAUUGAUCAUACUGAUAUAUGCCGACCCUUCGUAUUUCAAUUACUGGCCAUAAAUAUUUUUAUCAUUUCUACAUGACUACUCUCUAUGGCUAUCUCUACUUGCUUAGAAAAAUCUGAGCAUUAGAUGCCUUUAGCAUAUAAGGCUGAAGUAUAGAGAUCAACUCGAGAAAAAGAUAAAAGUAGUUAAUCAGAUAGGGGUGGUGAUUUUUGGUAGACAAACACGAUAAGGCCAAAUUCCUGGCCUUUUGCUAAGUUUUGGAGAGUGCGGAAUUAUCACAGUACCAUGCCAGGAGCACCUGAUCAGAAUGGUGUUGCUGAAGACGAAAGCGGUACUUAAUUGAUAUACUUAGGAGUAUGAUCAGUAUUAAUGCUCUUCCAAUAUCCUUGUGGAGUGAGGCACUCAAAACUGCCCUAUAAUUCUUAAUCGGGUUCCUACAAGCUGUACUAAGUCUUUUUGAGCUUUGGACAGGUAGGAAACCCAGUUUAAGACAUUUUCAUACAUGGGGUUGUCAAGCUGAGGCCAAAUUGUAUGAUCCACAAAUAAAGAAACUGGAUCCUCGAACCAUAUCAGGAUAUUUUAUUGGUUAUUCAGAAAGGUCCAAAGGGUAUAAGUUUUACUGUCCAUCACUUCCUAUAAAGAUUGCAGAAACUAAAACAGCACGGUUUAUUGAGGAUGGUACAAUUAGUGGGAGCUCUGAACCUCGAUUCAUUGAAUUUGAGGAAAUUCAAGAGUAUUCGGAUUCUGUACAUGACAGACCCAUUAUUGUCCCUCACGAUUUGUUGGUUCCUAUUCCAGUAGAACAACAAGUUGUUUUGGAACCACAAAAUGAUUGUGAACCUAUCAUUGAUAAUUCACAUCAAGAUGAACAAGUGGAUAAUUCACAUCAAGAUGUACAAGUGAAUAAUCCACAUCAAGAUAAACAUGUGGAUAAUCAGAUAGAUUUAAGAAGAUCCUCAAGACAGAGAAGACCGGCUAUAUCCAGUGAUUAUAUUGUUUAUCUUUAUGAGAAUGGUCAGAGUUUAGAUGAUCCUCUUAGUUUUUCCGAAGCUAUAAAUAGUAAUAAUUCUACGGACUGGUACAAUGCCAUGAAGGAUGAGAUUGAAUCCAUGAACCACAAUAAGGUAUGGGAUCUUGUUGAGUUACCUAUUGGAGUUAAACCCGUAGGAUGCAAAUGGAUUUAUAAAAUUAAAUGGGACUCCAAAGGUAACAUAGAGAGAUACAAGGCCCAUCUUGUGGCAAAAGGGUUUACUCAGAAAUAAGGCAUUGACUAUAAAGAGACUUUCUCUCCAGUAUCUAGAAAGGAAUCUUUUCGUAUUAUUAUGGCUAUGGUUGCUCAUUUUGAUCUCGAGCUACACCAGAUGGAUGUCAAAACUGCUUUUUUAAAUGGGGAUCUCUAUGAAGAGGUGUAUAUGAAUCAACCUGAAGGAUUCUCGCAAAAGGGAAAGGAGCAUUUGGUAUGCAAAUUAAAGAAAUCAAUAUAUGGACUAAAACAGGCCUCCCGACAAUGGUAUUUAAAAUUUAAACAAACUAUUUUAACCUUUGGUUUUAAGGAAAAUAUUGUUGAUCAAUGUAUUUAUUUAAAAGUUAGUGGGAGUAAAAUAAUUUUCUUAGUCCUUUAUGUUGAUGAUAUUUUGCUUGCCAGUAAUGAUCUUGGGCUAUUGCAUAAUGAUCUUGGGCUAUUGCAUAACACUAAAGAAUUUCUUUUCCAAAAUUUUGAAAUGAAAGAUUUAGGUGAGGCCUCGUAUGUUCUUGGUAUUGAAAUCAAAAGAGAUAGACAUAAAGGUUUACUCGGUUUGUCUCAAAAGGCCUACAUAAAGAAAGUUUUGAAAAAUUUUGAAAUGCAUAAUUGUAAGCCCAGUGUUGCUCCUGUCCAGAAAGGGGAUAAGCUUAAUGCUUUUCAGUGUCCCAAGAACCAAUUAGAAAUUGAACAGAUGAAAAGUAUACCUUAUACCUCUGCAGUUGGUAGUCUUAUGUAUGCACAGACAUGCACACGUCCGGAUAUUGCUUUUGCCGUUGGAUUACUUGGCAGGUAUCAAAAUAAUCCAGGUAUGGAGCAUUGGAAGGCUGCUAAGAAGGUUAUGAGGUAUUUGAAAGAAACUUUAGAUCAUAUGCUGAUUUAUAGGAGAUCGGAUCAUUUGGAGCUGAUCGGUUACUCGGACUCCGAUUUUGCUGGAUGCCCAGAUACCAGAAAGUCUACGACUGGGUAUAUUUUUCCGCUUGCUGGUGGAGCGAUUUCAUGGAAGAGCAGCAAACAAAGUGUUACUACUCCUUUGACCAUGGCUGCAGAGUACAUUGCAUGUUACGAGACCACAUCACAGGCUAUUUGGCUUAGGAAUUUUAUCAUGGACUUAAGAAUUAUGGACUCAGUUGCUCGUCCAAUAAAGAUUUUCUGUGAUAGUUCAGCUGCGAUUUUCUUUGCCAAUAACAACAAGAUUACAGCAGGGUGUAAACACUUGGACACUAAAUAUCUUGUUGUGAGAGAAAAGAUAGAUGAAGGUUAUGUUACAAUUGAAUACAUCAGUACCAAGUGUAUGAUUGCAGACCCAAUGACCAAGGGGCUGGCACCUGGGUCAUAUACAGAUCAUGUUAGAAAUAUGGGUUUGAUUUGUUCUUUCGAUGUAUAAAAUUGUAACACUUAUUUUCUUUCAAUAAAGUUAAAGUUUAAUGCAGCUGUGUUGGAUCAUUUAGUAGACAUAAAUUUUCGUCUAUGAACGAAUGAACAUACAGUUUAAGUUCAUUCAUAAAGUUGUGCCAUAUAAAGUACUCGGCUAAGAGGUGAAGAUGGUACGGUAAUUAUGGAAGGAAAAUUUCGUUAUGAAGAGGUGGACCGCCAUAGUUCCUAUCAUUGUAGUCUUUUAGUUUGAGCUAAAGAGCAAGUGAGUUCUAAGGUAUUUGACCAUAAAGUUUCCUACAAUGCGCAAUAAAGUUUGGAAGAUAAAAAAUCCAUUAAUGGAAUAUGAUUAAUAUGAGCAAAGUGGGAGAUUGUUAGGAUUUUCAUAUAUUGUGGCCAAAUUAAUCAUAUUUAAAUUAGGAUUUACUAUAGAUAAAGGUCAAUUCUAAUAGAUAUAGAACUACUUGAUAUGGUAUAUUUUAUCCCUAUCCCAUCUAUUUUAAAUUUAAAUAGAAUCUUAAUCAGACUUUGAUGGGAAGUCGAUCUGAACUCUAUAUAAAGGGGUAUUGAUCCUGCCACAUUCUCAUACGCAUUCUGGUGAAGAAUUACCAUCGGUUCCACGCCAUACGGGAGAGUGCCUGAGAAAGGAGGAGAAACCAAAUCACCCAGAUUCGGCUCGUGACUUCCAGAUCAUAGCCGGACUUCUCGCUUCCGCAGAUUGAUUAAGAAUUUUUUCUCUAUGACGCUCUGUGAGUUAUUUUAUUUUAUUUGAUCCUGAAUUUUGGUAUGUAUUUAAUUUGAUUCUUGUUUUACAUACCUAUAAAGUUCCAUCAGAAAAUCGAAUAGCCAUUUUUUCUAAAAUUUAUAAAACUUUUCUCCAAAUUUUUUUUUACAGGCAAACCAAAUAUUUGAAAACUACUUUUCAUGAAAAAAAAGUUUUCGGAAUAGUUUUACAACGUAGCAAACAUAUCCUAAUUAGAUACUAACACUCAAGAAUAUUUUGAAAUAGGCCCUUUAAUUUAACUUAACUUCAUUGGCUUUUUUUUUGAGAGAACUAUGCUCCAUUGCUCUUGUUUCGAUUUUUCUUUAAAAAAAAUAAAUUUAACUAGAAAUAAGAAGUAAUUUGUCAAAUUUGAUAGCUCUAAUAGCUACUAACAGGCGAUUUGCUAAAGUGACGAAGCUGUUGAAAUAAUGAAAUAUAAUUCAAUUUAGUAAAAUUUUCCAAUACUUGACUAAAUUUAUACAACAAAAACAACAAAAUGAAAAUAAAAAAUAUUAAUUAAAAAGUAUAGAUUUUUUUUUUUCGCUAAAACUCUUGUAAACUGCAAUAUAAUGCACCUAUUUUCUAUCUAAAGGUUUGUUCAAUAUUGAGGGCGAACUAAUCGUCAUUAGGCAAAUAGAGUUGGGAUGAAAUCAUAAAGAGAGAUUCUUCUCCAUUUUUUCGUAUUCUUUCUAAGACUCUUUGUAAGCUACUGUAAAUACUUUUUUUUUUUUUUUGGUCUAAGAGCCCGUUUGGUAUUGAGGGCGAGCUAACGCUAUUAAACAAAUAGAAUCGAGAUAAAAGUAUAGAAAAAACAUGCUUUCUUUACUUUCUAGUGAGACUCUAGAAAAUAUAUUAUGAUCGACUCAUUACUACAAAAAUAAAUAUUAUGUUUUUUUUUUUUGUAAUAUGUAUUUUGCAUAUAACUUAAUAUUUUUGUAAUCCCAAAAACAUGUUUUAGUAAGAGUAAAACAGCUAUCUAAAUAGUCAAUAGUGGAAAGAAUCACUACACAUUUGUACCCUUCGCAAGAUAGUUCUACCUCAAACCCUAACCCUAGCACCUUCUAGAAAUUUUUUUUUCUUUGCUUUUUGAUCAACUAGCCAACAAAAAAACCCUCCGACAAAUAAAAAUUCCAAAAUAAAAAAAUCAAAAUAAUAAUAAUAAUAAUAAUAAUAAUAAUAAAAGAACAUACUUCACAUUAUCUCCCUUCACUCCUUUUAUCCUGUGGCCCUCCUCACUCCUCCAUAUUAACCCCUUCCCCCCACCCCGCUUGCUUAAAAAUACAAACUACUGCUACAUACAUACAUACAUACAUACAUACAUACAUUCUACCUCUAUCUAAUAUCCUCCAAAACGUGAAUAAACACAUUCCCUUAUCCUCUCCCUUCGCCCUCCUCCUCUCUCUCUCUCUCUCUCUCUCUCUCUCUCUCUCUACGAAGCCCCUCUCCCACGCCAUGGCCACCGCCCACGGCGACGACAAGGAGCUCCUCGACGCCCCCGACGACGCUCCCGUGGCGGCUGCGGUGGGGGGCGGCCGCGAAGCCGGGGCGGAGAGCUCGAAGGAGGCUGUGGCUUUGGACGAGAGCCCGAUCGAGGACGAAGGCUCCGAAGCUAGGGCUUCGGAGAAUCCUCUCGAGAAGGGAGACGAGAAGCCGAUUGAGGGAGAAGCCGAUGGCGUCGGCGCGGUUGACGCGGAGGAAGAUGGAGAUGGGGGAGAAGAAGGGGUUGAGAGCUCGAAGGCGGCCGCAGUAGCUGAAGCUGAGGCUGGAGCUGAAGCUGGUGGUGCUGUGGCGGCUCAAUCUGUAAGUGCUUCUGCUGCUGAAACCCUAGGAAUGGAUAGGUCUGCGGAGUUAGAUGGUAGUAUCAUCCCUAAUUCGAUGGAUUUAGAUGCUGAUUUUGGUUCUGGCGAAAAGCUUGGUGUUGAUGGUGCGGAGGAGGCAGAGAAAGUUGAGGGCUUGGAAGGGGGUUCUGAGGUUGUGGGUGGUGGAGAGGUGGAUAAGGGUUUUACGGGGAAGGUUGGUUCCGUUGAUUCUGAUGAGGGUUUUGAUGACGGUUCUACUCAGAACCGGGAAAUUGAGCGCGUGAUAGUACAAAAUGAAUCGAACCGAGCUCCUGAUGAAGCUAAAGCCGAUGAGGUUGAGGAUGACGAGGUGAUGCAAUCGGUGGUCGAAGAAGCUGAAGAUAGUGGGAGCGAGGAGGUGAAGGCAAUGGAUGUUGGUAAUGAAUUUGAUGCAAAAACGAAUCUUGAACCUGUAAGUGAUGCUGCUGCUGAAGCUGAAGCUGUAGCUGAAGCGGUAGAUAAGUUUUCGGGAUUGGAUGGUCGUGCUGGUGAGACUGAGAAAAAUGAGGGUUUGGAUGGUGGGUCUGUUUUGAUGGGUUCGAAUUCUGAUGCUGAUUACGCUGACAAGGUUGGCAAUGGGAAUGGUGAUGAGGUGACUGCUAAUGUUGGGGAGGCUGAGAAAGCUGGUAGUUCGGAAAUAGCUGAGGGUUCUUCAGAUAAGGUUGAUUCUGUGAAAAUUGAUGCAGAGGAAAAUAGUAGUAUUACAAAGAGUCCGGAAACUGAGGGUGAGAAAGCUACGAAUGAAUCGGACCAAGUUGCUGAAGAAGCAGAAGCUGUUGAGCCCAAACAUGAUGCAGGCGAGAAGUCUAGGGAGGAGGAGAUGAAAAGUGACUUUGUGGACAAUUCAACUGCAAAGAAAGGUGGAGAUGACAGUGAAGAACCCUCUGAAAACCUAACAGCCACUAUCUAUACUGAAAAAGAAGGGAAAGCUGGUGAUCAUGGCCCUUUUGACCCUGCUGAUGAUGAAGAAAAUGGUGAUAAUGAGACGGGUGGAGAGGAGGACGAAGUUUUUGACUCUGAGAGGCUGCCUAGAGUCGCAAUCUUGGAGAGCUCCGAAACUGCUAAAGAGAUCAUGAAAGAAUUUGAAGGAGGCUCUUCACGCGAUAUAGAUGGGCAAAUUGUAAUUGAUUCGGAUGAAGAGGUGGAUGAAGAAGAUGAUGAUGAAGAGGGUGAUGAGAAAGAAGUGUUUGACUCUGCUGCAUUGGCUGCUCUGCUGAAAGCUGCGACUGGCUCAUCCCCUGAUGGAAGUUUCACUUUAACUACUCAAGAUGGUGCCCGAGUUUUCUCUGUUAAUCGUCCCGCUGGGUUGGGUUCGUCAGUCCCGUCACUAAGGCCCGCCCCAGCGCGCCCGGCCCGACAAGACCUUUCCAUUCCUUCUGAACUGGCACUGGCGGCCGACCCUCUUAGUGAAUUAAAUGAUGAGGAGAAGAAACUACAUGAGAAGGUUGAGCUGAUAAGAGUUAAGUUCCUUCGCCUCGUGUACCGGUUGGGGCAUUCUCCUGACGACACAGUUGCUGCACAAGUGCUUUAUAGAUUGAGCCUAGCAGAAGGGAUCCGACGGGGAAGACAAAUGCACCAUGCUUUUAGCCUUGAGAAUGCUAAAAAGAAGGCCUUGCAGCUUGAAGCAGAGAGAAAGGAGGAUCUUAACUUUGCCUGCAACAUUUUAGUACUGGGUAAGACAGGAGUUGGGAAGAGCGCUACCAUAAAUUCCAUUUUCGGUGAAGAGAAAUCCCUAACUAAUGCUUUUGAACCAGCAACUGCUUCUGUGAGAGAAAUAACUGGUAGUGUAGAUGGUGUUAAUAUUCGUGUUAUCGACACUCCGGGCCUUCGAACUUCCUUGAUAGACCAAGCAUCUAAUAGGAGAAUCCUUUCAUCUAUCAAGAAAUAUACCAAGAAAUGUCCACCCGAUAUCGUAUUGUACGUCGACCGAAUGGAUACCCAAACACGCGAUCUUAAUGAUUUGCCUCUAUUAAGAACCAUUACAAGCACAUUGGGUUCGUCCAUUUGGUUCAAUGCAAUUGUCGCUCUCACUCACGCAGCUUCUGCUCCCCCCGAUGGUCCCAAUGGUUCUCCUUUAAGUUAUGAAGUAUUCGUUGCGCAGAGGUCCCACGUCGUUCAGCAGUCGGUUAGGCAGGCGGCCGGCGACAUGCGUUUGAUGAAUCCGGUGGCUCUCGUCGAGAACCACCCUUCCUGUAGGAGGAAUAGAGAGGGCCAACGGGUUCUCCCCAAUGGCCUAAGCUGGAGACAGCAAUUGCUUCUCUUAUGCUACUCCUCGAAAAUAUUAUCAGAAGCCAAUUCCCUUUUGAAGCUUCAAGAUCCUUCUCCUGGGAAGUUAUUUGGGUUCCGUUUCCGUUCUCCUCCUCUUCCCUUCUUGCUGUCCUCCCUCUUGCAGUCUAGGGCACACCCAAAGCUCUCCUCCGACCAGGGGGGAGAUAAUGGAGAUUCCGAUAUCGAUUUGGAUGACUUUUCUGAUGCUGAACAAGAAGAGGAAGAAGAUGAAUAUGAUCAGCUUCCGCCAUUUAAGCCUUUAAAGAAAAGCCAGAUUGCGAAACUCACCAAGGAGCAAAGGAGGGCCUAUUUCGAUGAGUACGAGUACCGGGUCAAGCUUCUUCAAAAGAAGCAAUGGAAAGAGGAGCUUAGAAGGUUAAAAGAGAUGAAGAAGAGAGGCAAAACUACACAAGAUGAUUUUGGCUAUGGUGAUUACCCCGAAGAUUAUGAUCAGGAUAAUGCCCCAGCUGCUGUACCCGUUCCUUUACCCGACAUGGUACUGCCUCCUUCAUUUGACUGUGAUAGUCCCACCUACCGAUACCGUUUUCUUGAGCCGACCUCACAGCUUCUGGCUCGACCUGUUUUAGAUACUCAUGGGUGGGAUCAUGAUUGUGGGUACGAUGGGGUGAGCCUAGAAGAAACCCUAGCAUUAGCCAGCCAGUUCCCUGCUGCUGUAUCGGUUCAAGUGACCAAGGACAAGAAGGAAUUUAGCAUCCACUUGGAAUCUUCAGUUUCAGCCAAGCACGGCGAAAACGGCUCCUCGCUAGCUGGUUUUGAUAUACAAACUGUUGGGAAGCAAAUUGCUUACAUUCUCCGUGGUGAGAGCAAAUUCAAGAAUUUGAAGAGGAACAAAACUACAGGGGGUGUUUCUGUAACUUUCUUGGGCGACAUUGUGGCGACUGGAUUGAAGGUUGAGGACCAGCUGUCAAUUGGGAAGAGGCUGACACUUGUUGCAAGCACAGGAGGGGUGCGUGCGCAAGGCGAUACGGCGUACGGGGCCAACUUGGAGGCACGGCUUAAAGACAAGGAUUAUCCGAUUGGCCAAGCCCUUUCAACCUUGGGAUUAUCCCUAAUGAAGUGGCGCGGUGACUUGGCCGUGGGGGCAAACUUGCAGUCUCAGUUUGCAAUUGGGAGGGGCUCGAAGAUGGCUGUUCGUCUUGGUCUUAAUAACAAGCUGAGUGGGCAAAUCACUGUUAAGACAAGUACCUCAGAGCAGCUUCAGAUUGCACUGUUGGGGAUCCUUCCAAUUGCUAUGUCGAUAUUUAAGAGCGUGCGGCCUGGUGAGUCUUUUGCAUAUUAGUUGGGUCUAAAGGUUAAAUUAUUGGUUAUCAAUAAGUUUCCUAGUAUUCCGGUGGAGUGAAUAGUAUCUGUUUCGUUUUCUUUGAACUUUUGCAAUCGCUGCAGUUAGUUUUGUCAUAAUUUUACCAUGAAGAGAGCUGUGGAAUUGAGUUAGAACUGUGCGGGCGUUAGUAAUGUUAGAUUUGGUUCGUAUGCUAUGAAGUUGCUAUGUUGUUUCCUUCCAUCUAAAAUAAAAGCCUUUCAUUUUCAUAUGAAUUUUGGUUGCUGAAUGCGGUAGUUACCAACUGAGUGUUAAAUUGGUCUGUUAGAAGUGUUAUUUUGGAGUUCAAUUAAUUCUUUUGAGAUAAUAGUCAUCUCAUUGUUGCCGUUUGAUUUUUAUUCUUUCUGAGAAACAAUUUUAUCAUCGGAGUAGGAACAAAAUGAUCUGUGAGCUGCGAGGAUGAAGCAAGUCUAUUUGAGAUGUAAGACUACUACAGCUUUAAUAUAAUCUAAAAGAAGAAUAGUGUAUCACAAGUUAUAUUCUUAGUCUUUGAUUUACGUUAUAGAGCUUCUGUGAUAUAUUAACAUAUUAAGGGCCUGUUUGGCCUAUAGCAGUAGAGACUAGUGCUGUUGAAAAAGUACUGUAGGAAAUAGUGUGGUGUUGUUAAAAAAAAAAGGUAUAGAGCGUUUGAUUGUUUUUGUUAAUAGUACUGUCUAUUAUAAAAAGAUGUUUGGUAAAAACUUUGUUAAAUAAUUACAAACCGGUAUAAAGUAUAUUAAAAAGUAUAAAUUUAAUUCAGUAGUUUCAUUUAUUAUUUCUUAAUAACAAUUUGAAAUUAAAAUUAAAAUUUGAAUUUAAAAUUAAAAGUUAAUUUUAAAUCGAAAUUGAAUUUAAAAUUUGAAUUUGAAUAAACAUUUUGUAUUUACAUUUCAAAAUCAAAAAUAAACUCGAAAGUUAAAUUUGAAUUUCAAAAGUAAGUACAAAAUUUAAAUUUGAAUUCCAAAAUUGAAUUUAAAUUUGAAAUAGGAACCCAUAAAAUUCAGAGUUAAAAUUUGAAUUAAAAUGUAACUGUGAAUUUUAAAUUUUAAUUCAAAAUAUAAGUUAACUUUAAAGUUUAAAUUUAAAAAGAAAUUUGAAUUUAUAAAUUUCAAAUCAAACAAAAUUAACUUCCAAAAAAUAAAUUGGGGUCCAAAAUUAAAAAACUUACAAACAUUACAUUGAGGACCAACAUUACAAUAAACCCAAAGUUUCUACCUGAAGUUUUUUUUAUUUUGGUCCCAAAAAUUUAUUUUGAUCCCCAAAAUUAACGUCAAAAAAAAAAAGAAGAGAGAGAGAGACAACAAAGUUUCUACCAUAGAAGCUCCAUCAAUGGAGCUUCAACGGUUGAAGGGGUGGAGGGUGCAGAACACAAAAAAAUUGUGUUCCGUCCCCUCUGCAAACGCCUUAUUUUUGGGUAAAGCCUCUUUUGGCCGGGCCAAAAUUUGAUUAGGUUUAGUUUAGGUUUGAUGCCAACACUGCCUAACCCAACCCAAAUUUGGUCCCUUCUGGUAUUUCCUAAUCUUAAGCCAAUCCAUUGAGCAGGUUGCUCUCGUAGGUUCCAAUUGCAUGAUCCAAGUUGUGGCCCAACAGCUGUAACAUCAGUAUAAAGCAAAGAUUACCGAGGAGUUUGCCUUUAUCUAAUGAAAGGUGAUAAGUGGCCAUGACUAGCAUGAGUUUCAUUAACGAACUAUGCCCCCAUUUUGAAUAUUUACAAGUAAAAAUAGUCAGAAGGAAUCAAACUAAAUGGAAUUUGAUGUGAAGGAGGGUUCAUGAAGGCAGUAAAUAGGCUGUAUUGAGAACAGACCACAAAAAGAGAGAUAACAUAGUUUCAAAUUAAAGGUACUGAAUUCAUGAAGGAGAAGGGAAAGGAAAGGACACCUAAGCAAUUGCAGGAAAUAACUUCGAAACAUCAAAGAAGAAUCCUGAAGGCUUCGUUUGGUUCGGGGUUAAGUAAAAACUAGUUACUCCAGGAACAGGGUUAAGUUCAGGGUUAAGGUGGGGUUAGAAUAAUUUUGUGUUUGGUUGAGAAUUGGGUUUAGUCCAGGAAUAAACAAAAUAGUGUUUGGUUGGAGUAGGUGGAAUAAGAAGGAUAGUGGGUUGGUAUAGAGAUAAAAAGACCAAAAUACCCCUCACAUGAAUCUAUGUAAAUAAAAACUUUUAUUUUUUGCAUUUAAAUUUAGAUGAUUGCAAUUUUUUUCGGGGAGUCAAAUUAAAUUAAUUUGAGCGUAAUUUGUUACCAAAAAAUAUUUUUCACUACUCUUUUGUUACCAAAAAAUACCCUAAUCCGAGACUACAAGAGAAAACCCCCAAAUUGUAGGUGAAGGCUGGCACAGAUCUACCUAGAUCUACCCGAUCCGGUUGUGUGGGUUGACCCGAAGCGAGGAGGAGAAAGUACGAAGCGCUUGGGCCGUCGGUGAAGGCUUUACGAGCAACGGCGACGAGAUGGGGGAUGAGAAUUUCGGGGGAGCUGAAGCCUUUACAACUGGAGGUGAAGGCCUUGCGACCGACGGCGACGAGGUGAAGCCCUUACGACUAGCUUUGGCCGGAGGGAAGCCCGUCCAACCAACGGCGACAAGGAGGGGGGGUUGAGGGCUUCGGGGGAAGAAGAUGAACAAGAGGUGAGGGGGCGAACAGUAGUACGAAGGGUAUUUUGGGGCGGGGUUAGGCUAUUCCGGGGGUGGGGUUAACAAACCCCAACCCUUAUCAGGUUAUCCACGCGGGGGUGUGGGGUGAGGGGGUGGGGUUAACAAACCCCACCCCUUGUUGGGUUAUCCACGGGGGGGGGGCGGCGCGGGGAGUACCAGGGGGUGGGUUACAAACCCCAUCCCUUAUGCGGUUAAACCUGAUAAGGGGUGGCGGGCGAGGGGGUGGGUUAACAAACCCACCCCUUUAUCGGUUUUGUGGGGGGGGGGGGGCGCCAGGGGGUGGGGUUUGUUAACCCCACCCCUCUAAUUUUGUGUUUGGGACUAACUUCGGGGUUAAGGGGUUAUCCCCCCCCUUAACCCCGAACCAAACAAGGUGUAACUGAUCUCCUUUGGUCCUUUUUUUGUUCGUAGGAUAUAGAGAGAAAAGACUCGGGAGGAUUUAAAGGACGAAUAGUAAAUGUGAUAGGAAAGAAGAAAGGAGAAAAAUGAGUUAGGAGGAUUGGUAGGGCAUUUGGAAGUAUGUUUUAAUGGCUUUUGUGAACUCCCUCUUUUCUGUGGGGCAAGUUGCUUGAUCAGAGUAAUUUGUUGCAGGCAUACAUAAAUUAAUCCUCUUAUAUCCUAUAAUGAUCCAAAACAAUCUAAUCUUUGUCUUUUAUUUUUACAGCGGAUCCCAAUUAGAAAACCCGGAAAUCUGAAUUUAUGCAUCCAAUUCUUUGUGCUCAUUGAAUCAUCAUGCACGACUUCAGAUAUUUAACUAGGUGGAUAAACUUGCACUAUAAAUUGAACAAAGUUCAGAAGAAGACUGAAAAACUGUAUCGUAAACUUCAUCAGACGAUUAUUUGGUCUUAGGAAUUUUACUCUGUUGGCUAGUUCUAGAUAGAAACGUGGAAUGUUGAUCAUUCCAGUAUUUGAUCAUGUUAUCUCUUAUAAAUUCUCGUGCGUAGGAUCAAUUUCAUUUAACUAGAAUUUCGCCUUAUUGUUUUUCCUGAUUUUCUGUGGAUUUUGCGCAAGUUAAUCUCUACAGGAAGUGUCUGAAUUUAGAGAGUUUGUCAUCUCUACUAUUUAGUUUAAAAGUGUUUAAUUGCUCUGUUACAUUGAAUCUGGAAAAUUGUCAGAUUGGCUCACAUUUCUUCUACUAUAGGUGGAUGGCGUUGUUAAUCCAUGUAGACAACAAACAAAUAUUCUCAUAUCCAGUAUCUGUUUCUUCAUCUGUUAGAAGUUGGAUGGUUCUCUUGUUUCACAUCACACAUAUUUGUUUAGACGUAAGAUAUGCCCUUUUCCUUUAGGGGCAUGGUAUUUAAGUUCAGAGAAAGCACUAAUUGCUGUUUUGUUGAAUAUCUCACAACAGCUUCCUGGCGUGAUAAGCAAAAGCUUUGAAGUGGAGCUUUUGUUUUUGGCGCUCAGAUGCUCGCUUCAGCUUCUUGCAAGAAUGCCCUAGGGCUUUUUACUCACCGAGCGACUGUUCACCCCUUCUUAGAUUAGAAAAGUCCUUCAACAACCCUGCCCAAAUUGGCACUUUCUGGGGUUUCCCUUAUUGUCUGCGUAGUCUACUUCUUGUCCGUAGAGUCUACUGUAGGGCAUUUCGCGAGGUUAAAAUUUCUUCUAUAUCCUACAUGUAGUGCUUUUGCCUGUCUCAACUCAGGUGGUUGUGCGCCUCGACUCAGGUAGUUGUGCGCGUGAGAUGUGCUUUGACUUUAGGGUAAACUUCAAUUUACCUCAUUGUGGUUUAGUGCAUUAUCACUUUGUCAUCCCGUUCAAAAAGUUACAUAUAACUAUCGGGUGGUUUAAUGUGUUUUACUUUGUUACUAUGUGGUUUAAAAAAGUUACACUUAAUUAUGAAAUAUUUUUUCUUCAAAUUUUCACUAUAAGAAAAUAUGGUUAAAUAGGAGGAUAUCACCCUGUGGUCUUUAAAAAACUUCGCUUUGCUAUUCUAAUUGACGUUAUGGUUUUUUGGUGAAAUAGAGAAAAAAAAUCACCCAAUAAUUAAGUGUAUUUUUUUUUUUUUUGGAGUAUAGGUAACAAAGUAAAAAACAUGUUAAACCAUAGAUAGACAAAUUGAAGUGUAACCUUGUUUUCGUUGUGACAAGUGCAUAUGUUCUUAUUUCAUAUAAAUGCUACUUUCUCAGGCCAUUUGUUACAGCACAGUUAGAACUGCAAAUAGUUAUAUAUUUAACAGUUACAUUUAUGUUUGUUUUGCUAGUAUGCAGUUGAGAAUACCCUAAUUGUAAAUUUUUUAUUUGAUUGUUCAUAAUUGGAAGAUGCAGAUUUUGAUACUUCGCAUCCAUUAGUUGCCUUCAACAGUAGAACUGAUGGGCAGCAGGCCUACACAGUAUAAAAACU
rnacentral:lncRNA from 1 species